AAGAAUCACAACAAUCUCGCGGCUUAGUCAUUGCAUCCAUGAGGGAGUGGGGAGAGAGUCGAAUUGUGAGCAGGAAACUAAUGCUGAAAGAAUCUAUAACUUGAGCUUCUUCCUGGAGCAACUUAUGAGGUUACUCAUUAUUUUUUCUUGGCUUGCCUCAAAUAUAAAUUUUUUCAUUCUCUAUUAGCUGCAACAUAGAGCGCAUGUUAGUCUGAGGUUAUCUUCUGUCUUCAAAGGCUGGUACCUUAUUAGUCUUGUAUACUACCUUGUCCCAAAAUGGGGAAAUAAAAGAUCCUUACUUCAUCUAACAGCUUAAUUGAACCUUGCAUGGUGAUGCUGCUCUAAUAACACAGGGAGUUCAGCAAUUUUUUAAGCUAAUAAAACUCUCUGUAGAUUCAUUAAUUCCAUGUAAGAAGUCAAAAACACAUGAUACUUUGCAAGAUUGAAUUGUGUGCCUUGUGAGGCCCAUUUUCACUCAAAUGGUGAUCCAACAUGUGGGAGGGCAUAAUUGCCCACUGAAUGUAGACAUCCCGAGAACUUUAAUGCGAUGAAAGCGUCUUCGGCUUGGCCUAUGCCGUGAUGUUCUGAGGAUGUCUAGGCCGGUAAGUGGACUUUUCCCAUCGUGUGCCAUUGUUGAACGAGAUUGGUCAACCUGCUUCUUCAUUGUCCUCGAAAAGGUGGUCUGUAAAAGCCAGGAGACCACACCUAGGUCCAUUCCAUGAGAUAAGUGUACCUAGCUAUUAAUUAAGUGUCUAGUAUAAUAGACUUUCUUAUUAAAUACUUAGAUAAGGUUCUGAUUUAAAGUAAUCGAUAUAGUUGUUAGCCAUGUGUUUAAGGUCUAUCUUAUGGUUAUGUUCAACCAUUUUGUAUUAUGAAUUGAGAAUUUUAAUAGGAAAUACAGGAUGCAUUGUUUUCAAAUCUUUGGUCCAUUGAUUUUGUAGAAUGGCUUUGCCCGGGUAAUUCUAAUUAGAGUAUAGAAGGGCCAGUACUAGAUUAAGGAUAGUUUACUUGGAAUAUAUAUAUAUAUAACGUCUUUUUGUAAAACGUCUUUGGCUGAUUUGCAAUCAAUCCUCAAGAGGAAUUUUUGAUUUAGUAAAUCUCCUUGGAAUUUUGAUAUAGAUAAACUAUAGCAAGUAUUUCUUUUUUGAUUGUCGAAUAAUUUUGUUGAGUGAAAUUCCAAUGUUUUGAAAUGAACUGAACAACUUGUUCUUUGUUGUUAUUGACUUGUUUGAGAAUACCGCCAUAUCCUAAUUCUGAGGCAUCUGUUUCAACUAUUUUGAAAGUGAAAGGGUCAGCAAGGUGUAAUCAUGGUAUAUCUUUUACAUGCAUUUUGAUUUGUUUGACAAUGUCUGUAUGGACAGAGGUCCAGGGUGGAGGAUCCUUUCGUAACCUUUGGUGUAAAGGUUUACAAAGGAUAUUUACAUUUGGAAAGAAAUCUAAAAUAUAAUUGAGACUACCCAAAAACCUUUAUAAUUGAGUUUUGUCUUUGAUCUCAUCAGGGAAUUUAUCGGUAAAAGAGAUUGAUCUUUCAAUGGGGGUUAUAGUAUUUAAAUGAAUGUAAUGACUUAAGAAUCUAAUCUUGGUUUUGAAGAGUGCAAUUUUAGUGGGAGAAACUACAAGACCAUUUUGUAUUAUUAUUUUUAUGAAAGUAGAUAGAUGUUUGAAAUGUUGUUCUAUAUUGGAAGAAAAUACUAGAAUAUCAUCUAUAUAAACUAUGAUAUAUUUUGAAUAAGGAUUGAAAAUCUCAUUCAUAAUUCUUUGGAAUUCUGAAGGGGCAUUUUUUAGGCCGAAUGGCAUAACAUUCCAUUCAUAUUGGCCAAAAGGGACUGUAAAGUUUGUCUUGUAUUUAUCCUUAUCACUGACCUGUAUUUGCCAGAAUCCUGACUUCAUGUCGAAUUUUGAAAAUAUUUUUGAUCUACAAAGUCUGUUUAACAAAUCUUUUUUAUUGGGUAUAGGAUAUCUUAUCCACCUAAGGGCUGUUUUAAGAGGUUUAUAAUUAAUGACUAAUCUGGAAACUCCUCUUUCAAGUUCAGCAUUUUUAUUGACAUAAAAAGCAGAACAACUCCAAGGUGAUUGGCUUUUUCUUAUGAGUUUUUUAUCUAAGAGAUCUUGUAUUUCUGCUUGACAAAAUUUCAAAACUUCUUGAUUCAUUUGUGUUGGGCGAGCUUUGGUAGGUAUUUUGUUUUCAGAAAAGUCAUGUUCAUAAGGUAAAUCAACGAUAUGUUUUUUUCUUUCCCAAAAGGCAUUGUCUAGAGUUGAACAUAUAGUUUUUUCUAUAUGUUUUUGUAUGGAAGCUAUUUUCUCUAUGAUGUUUGGUUUUAUAAGUACACACACGAUGCAGUAGGGACGUGUGGUGUGGCAAGCAAAUCAAUUUCAAAAUUUAAGCGUCAAGUAAGAGGAUUGGCAUUUUAUACAAUCGAUUUAAUUGGUUGGUCACAUCACUUUAGCCGUUAGCGAUUUGACUAUUGAAUAAAAUAAUUUUCUCAAACAAGGAGGUGGCCCCUCGCAAAGUUUUCAAAUGCUAGAAUUCCCAAGCUUGCGAGAGCUUUAGGAAACCUACUCCCUUUGAAGAAAUGAUAUUUAUCAUCACCUAAAGUUGCAAGGACUCUCUAGCAAGUACCGCUGUUGAUAUGCACUUUGUAGUUACUAAAGAUCCAUAUUGUCACUUAUGGGUUUGAUGAAGGAAUUUACCAUGCUAUUGGAUAAUUCCUAAGUGAUAGGAUCAUCGAGAGAUAAACUCUACAAUCAAAUUGCUAACCUCAAAAGAAAGAUACUAACUAGAGAUGUAGUGAUGAUAAUGAGGACUUCAUGGGACUUAUGAUUGUCGGAAAAAUACUUACGAUGUACAAAUAUUAUCAUUUACAAAUAAAGAGGAUAAAUACUAUAUCAAUGGAGAAUUGAAUAAUGAUGACGCUCACAAAUUAGCAAUAAUGAAAGGGAUGUUUGUGAUGCAAAGUUAUACUGCAAAGUUAAUAACCAUAUUUUGAGGAUUUUGGGUGAUUUACACUGGUUCUAGAAUAUUUACCGAGAAAUUUCGUUAUUUAUUAUGACCAUUUGAUGAAAUUUACUUUAUUAAUUUAAGUUUACUAACGACUAACAUUAACACAAUGGCAUAACAAAGAUUAUUUUUUUGGCAAUGAGCAAAGUUUAACAUACUGCUAUAAGGGAUAUGUAUAGAAACACAUUAGUUCCGCAAACCUUUUUGCUUCAUCUAUAAACUGCAUAAAAAAAAAAAAAAUUGAAAUUGCCCAAGUAAAGGAAAACAAUGCUUGGGGAGAUGAAAUAUGAAUACAAUUUGUUUAUAAAUAAGUACUUUAGAAGUCAUAAAAUUUGUUGUGAAAGUAUAAUCAAAUUCUAAGACUUUCAAAAAGUGAAAUGAAGUCUUAAAAUCUAUCCCAUCAAUACAAUUAAGUAUUUUUGUUAGCUCCACCAAAUCUGAGUAAUGAAAAAUAUUGACAUGUCAUUUAUUGAUAUGAUUUGACUACACGUGCUAAAGAUAUUUGAACCAAACAUGAAGCCACGUUCUACUAAAUUGAAGUAUCUUGUGUGCCAAGUCACCCUCUCUCCAUUUUCCAAAUCUAACAUUAGAGAUUGAAGUGAAUGCCAUCUCUUACUUCAACAACAAACAUAAAUGUCCCGAGGUAUCGAGAAACAUAUGCCAACCCCCAGUUUGUUUCGCUAGCUUAAUGAUUGCUUCUUUCAGAAUUGCACACCAGCACUAUUACACUCGCCUCUUCCCAUUUAAUCUAUUCAUUCUCGUUGUCACUAAUGUACUUGUACCUGUAUAAGUACUUGCCCAAGGACUCGUACAAGUCGUCGUCACUAAUGUACUUGUACCUGUACAAGUACUUGUCCAUGGACUCGUACGAGGACUCAUACGGGUACUCCAUUCGCAUGGCUUCCAUUCUUCGCUCCAUAUGGCGUGGGAGAAAUUUGUAGAAGAAUUCUUUGAGCUUCAUUUCAUAUAUUGAAGCUGGAUUCACUAAUUGCUUGUCUUCGAGCACAACUUUCAAAUCAUCAUCCAUUUGCUUGCAUCUUAGCACAUAUCCCAAUUUUUUUAUGGUUCCACCCGAUAUACUAAGUGUGAGGCUAAAUAGUAAGCAAUCCUCGUCAAAUUCAAGAAAAUCAAUAGCUCCCCCCAACACUCCCCAUAGCAUGUUCGGUUUGAGAUAUUGAAUCCAUGUAUGAUUCGAAUUAAAUGAACCGAGAGAUCCCGAUAGCCCAUUCCGUCUUUGGCCGUUAAGAAGGGGCACGAUGUCGAAAAAUAUUUCCUUUUCUCCAUCUUCUAUAGUGAAAACAACACAGAGAGCUAAUCCCCAAGAACUUAUCAUAAAAGUCUCGUGAAACCAUGAAAGAUAUGGUAUUGCCUUCAACAAUGAUGAACUCCUCUGGCAUAUCUCCUCUGGGAAGAAUAUCCAUGUAGUGAGGAGCAAUUUCAGCAUAGCGCCACUUCUGUUAUACCGAUAAAUUGUUAGACGUACUAAAGUUGAUAAUUAGUUAAAAUAGAAGAGUUUGAUUUGAGAAUUUUUCUAGUAAUUUAACCAAAGCUAGAAUUUUCGUAAUAAUUAAACAUAUCGAUCUUUCCUUGCCUUAUAUUUAAUACUCAGGAAAUCAAUCACUUCACUUGCGAGUAUUGUCGUAGCACAUGGUGCAGAAUCACUCUACGUUAGAUUUACUUAUUUGUAUAGAAUUUUCAGUUUUUGCGUUAUACAAACACAGUGCGCCUGACGUACACUCCAACAAGAAAUCAACACAUGCACUUAUGAAUUCGCACGUAUCCCCAAGGGCCGGAGAGAGAGAGAGAGAGAUAGAGAGAGAGAGAGAGAGAGAGAGAGAGAGAGAGAGAGAGACCUCAACUGAAAAGUCAACCAUGAUAUCAGCGGGCGAGGAGUCAUCUAUACCGUCGCCUUCUUCUGAGCUUGUUUGGUAGUUGUCUUCAUGGUUUAUCCCCCGCUAUUACAUAUAGGUGCAAAAUCACAAUAUAUUAGCUUGUUUUGUUUACUAGCAUCUGCAGUUUUGCAUUAUAAAAACACAAAGCACCCAUAUCAAUCACACACACACCCCAAUCGCGGAGAGGGAGAGAGAGGGAGAGACCUCAACUGAAAAGUCAGCCAUCAUAUCGGCGCGUGAGGAGUUAUCCAUAUCGAUGUCUUUUCUUUGUUUUUUCUGGGGUCGAAUAUCGUCGUCUUCUUCUGAGUUUGUUUGAUAAUUAUCUUCAUGGCCUACACGCCACUGUUAUUUAUAGGUGCAAAAUCACAAUAUAUUAGCUUGUUUUGUUUACAAGCAUUUGCAGUUUUGCAUUAUAAAAACACAAAGCACCCAUAUCAAUCACACACACACACCACAAUCGCAGAGGGGGGGAAGGGAGGGAGGGAGAGACCUUUUCCAGAUGUGAGAGAUCGGCCGAAAUUUCUUCCUCACUAGUCGUUUCUUCAUCGUGAAGCGGAAUAUGAUAAAUCAAACUUGGAUCUAACAACUUGUAAUCUUGAUUCAAAGCCUCCGAAUCAUCCUCUAGCGGCUUGCAUAUUAAUCGAAAUCCACACCUUUUUACAAUUGCACCAUCCCAUGCUUUAAUGCCUAACUGGAAAGAACUUGAGUCAUUUGGACCAAAAGGGUCAACUCCCCAUAGUCGCUCCAUUGCAUGCAACUGGAUUAACACAUGAUCCGAAUGCAUUGUGGGGAAACUUAUUCGCUCGAAGUACGUAUCAUUCCGUCUGCCAUUAAUGUAUGGAAUGAGCUUAAAGUCCUUUCGGGUCCCAUCCUCUACUUCUUCCUUUACUCGAAAUACAACAGAGAUAGCUAAUCUUAGGAACUUCUCAUACAAAUCCUUCGAAGCUGUGAAAGAUAUGUAACCCUCAUUAUUCAGGAGUAACCAUUGUGGCAUCUCUCCUCCAGGUAGAAUAGUUUCCAAAGAGUAUGGGUAACCCGUUUCCAUAAACUGCUGUCGUAAAAGUAAAUUGUUAAGAUAUUAUUUUGAAUUUAACACUCGAAAAAGAGGAGUUUCAAUGAGUCAAAUUUAGCUACAAUUAGCAAUAUAUGUACACGACUUCGUAUUAAUCAGAGAGGGAGGGAGGGAGAGUCUAACCUUAUUGCGGAACAUAUCACAAAAUAAUCGGUUAACGGACAAUAUGUCGGAGGGAAUUUUGCUUAGAGAUUCAUAGCGUUGGGUGCGGGUGANNNNNNNNNNNNNNNNNNNNNNNNNNNNNNNNNNNNNNNNNNNNNNNNNNNNNNNNNNNNNNNNNNNNNNNNNNNNNNNNNNNNNNNNNNNNNNNNNNNNNNNNNNNNNNNNNNNNNNNNNNNNNNNNNNNNNNNNNNNNNNNNNNNNNNNNNNNNNNNNNNNNNNNNNNNNNNNNNNNNNNNNNNNNNNNNNNNNNNNNNNNNNNNNNNNNNNNNNNNNNNNNNNNNNNNNNNNNNNNNNNNNNNNNNNNNNNNNNNNNNNNNNNNNNNNNNNNNNNNNNNNNNNNNNNNNNNNNNNNNNNNNNNNNNNNNNNNNNNNNNNNNNNNNNNNNNNNNNNNNNNNNNNNNNNNNNNNNNNNNNNNNNNNNNNNNNNNNNNNNNNNNNNNNNNNNNNNNNNNNNNNNNNNNNNNNNNNNNNNNNNNNNNNNNNNNNNNNNNNNNNNNNNNNNNNNNNNNNNNNNNNNNNNNNNNNNNNNNNNNNNNNNNNNNNNNNNNNNNNNNNNNNNNNNNNNNNNNNNNNNNNNNNNNNNNNNNNNNNNNNNNNNNNNNNNNNNNNNNNNNNNNNNNNNNNNNNNNNNNNNNNNNNNNNNNNNNNNNNNNNNNNNNNNNNNNNNNNNNNNNNNNNNNNNNNNNNNNNNNNNNNNNNNNNNNNNNNNNNNNNNNNNNNNNNNNNNNNNNNNNNNNNNNNNNNNNNNNNNNNNNNNNNNNNNNNNNNNNNNNNNNNNNNNNNNNNNNNNNNNNNNNNNNNNNNNNNNNNNNNNNNNNNNNNNNNNNNNNNNNNNNNNNNNNNNNNNNNNNNNNNNNNNNNNNNNNNNNNNNNNNNNNNNNNNNNNNNNNNNNNNNNNNNNNNNNNNNNNNNNNNNNNNNNNNNNNNNNNNNNNNNNNNNNNNNNNNNNNNNNNNNNNNNNNNNNNNNNNNNNNNNNNNNNNNNNNNNNNNNNNNNNNNNNNNNNNNNNNNNNNNNNNNNNNNNNNNNNNNNNNNNNNNNNNNNNNNNNNNNNNNNNNNNNNNNNNNNNNNNNNNNNNNNNNNNNNNNNNNNNNNNNNNNNNNNNNNNNNNNNNNNNNNNNNNNNNNNNNNNNNNNNNNNNNNNNNNNNNNNNNNNNNNNNNNNNNNNNNNNNNNNNNNNNNNNNNNNNNNNNNNNNNNNNNNNNNNNNNNNNNNNNNNNNNNNNNNNNNNNNNNNNNNNNNNNNNNNNNNNNNNNNNNNNNNNNNNNNNNNNNNNNNNNNNNNNNNNNNNNNNNNNNNNNNNNNNNNNNNNNNNNNNNNNNNNNNNNNNNNNNNNNNNNNNNNNNNNNNNNNNNNNNNNNNNNNNNNNNNNNNNNNNNNNNNNNNNNNNNNNNNNNNNNNNNNNNNNNNNNNNNNNNNNNNNNNNNNNNNNNNNNNNNNNNNNNNNNNNNNNNNNNNNNNNNNNNNNNNNNNNNNNNNNNNNNNNNNNNNNNNNNNNNNNNNNNNNNNNNNNNNNNNNNNNNNAAAGAUUGAGAGAUUCAAGAUUCUUGGGUUGGAGUAUAUCGGGGAGAUGAUGAAGGUUAGAGCAACCUUCUAGAUUCAACAACCUCAACUUGGCAUGAUAUGCAACUGAUUCGUGAGCACGCUCCAAAUUUUUGCACCCAUUGAGAUCCAAUUCCUCGAGAUUUGGAAAAAAAUCGAGGUUCGGCAUACAAAACAUGGCCAGACAUUCACGGAAGUAAAGGAACUUCAAAUUUUUAAAGUCCUGCAAGAAAUAUCCACGUGGAAAGAAAAUGAAGAUAAAAAUAUUUAAUGAAAAACACUUGAUCAUCAUUCAAGACCCGUGUGAUCAGAAAUUAGUUGAUCAUAUGGUGUAUACAGAGCACUCCCACUCCCUUUUUAAAUAUGAGUUUAUUAAGUGAUCCUUGGCCAAAUGUGAAGAUUAAAAAAAGAAUAAUACUCGUAAUUUCACCACACACACACUAAGCUCUAUCAAGCGACACACAAGAGAAAUCAUUCCAAUGCUAAGUAGCAUGGCCACUUCCACUAUGUAUAUGUUUAGAAUCAAUACAUGUAAUUCAAAGAGAGAGUGACCUCAAGUGGGAGCACAUGAGCGAGCCAUGGUCAAAUCCUUUGCCAGCUAAUUCAUGACAUGAAUUUAAGCUAACAUAGGUGGCACUUGAUGGACCUACAAUCUUUUGCAGAGAUAUGCAAACCUGCCAUAAUUGCGGUGGAAGCUUGGGAAUCUCUCGUGUCAUCACUUAUUAGGUCAUGGUGCUUGGUUGAUCGAUUUUUGAGAAUCACACAUUUUGUUGAAUGUAGUAGACCCUUGAUCCGUUAUAUGUUGCUGAAUUUUAUAUUAGUGAAAUUGUGCACCCACAUGGUAUUCCAAAGACAACUCCUUACGUUGUGUAGUGAAUGCAUCUUUUAAGUCCUUUGGAUCUUACACCAUUAUCCACCACUAAUAUGGAGAAAGAGCUAAGACAAUAAAUAAGUUACGUGAGGAAGUGAGGAAGAGAAGUCCGAAGCAAAAUGUCAAAUAUCCCAGUCAAGCCAGAAAAGAAAAAAGAAAAAGAAAGAAAGAAAAGCCUGCUGUUUUUAAAGAAGUUGAUCUUGUCUGGAUUCAUUUGAGAAGAGCGUUUUCCACCUAGUCGUGGUGCUACGGACGGUUCUUUUCUAGUUUUGGAACACAUUGAUAAUAAUACCUGCAAAAGUGAGCUUUGUGGAGGGAAUGGUGUUUCCACUAGUUUCAAUGUUGCUGAUCUAUUACUAUGAAGUUAGCUUCGAGGAGUCUUUUCAAGAUUUUAAGAUUCUCUCUUGUGAAUAGAAUAAUAGGGAUAAAAUAUAUUUCUUGAUCAGUGAGCCUGUUUUAUACUUUUUAGGAUUGUUUUAGUCUCGAUUCAAUGUGAUAAUAUUGUACCUUGUUUGAAUUUUGUAUUUCGGGUUCAUUUUUCUUUACUUGGAGAUUACUCAAAGGUACAGUAGGCUCCUACUUAUAAGUGUCCUCUCGGUGUCUCAUGGUAAACACAAUUAAUCUAUUAAAUGAAGUUUCAUUCUAUCUUUUCUUUGUCUUUCUCUCUGUCCUUUUAGGGGAUUCAUGAGUGAACGAGAGAGUGCUGCAUCCUUGGACUGGCCUGCAAAGGCGGUGAUUUGGCCAAGGGAGACCUAGUGUAUGUUGUCUCUUUCCUAUCCUCCAUAGGUGGGGUUUUUCCACUUCAUUUAGAUUGAAAAACCCCUUCUAUUUAUUUGUUCGCUCAACACAUUCCGGCGUCAAUGUGGCCGACAAGCAUGACAGCAAAAUUGAAAGUCCAUGAAGUUUGUCUCUUGUGAGGCAUAGGAAGAGAAAACUAAAAGAGUAUGCACAAGAUUUGGAAAAAAAUUGAUACUGAAAAAUUGAGCAAAACCACUAAAUUAGAAAUAUUUAAUGGAAAGAAAUUGUUGGUAAACACACAAUACACAAACAUAGAAUGUAUGUAGGAUAUUUCUAGAUUAAAAUUUGCAAUAAGAAAUUUGUUAUGGGAUAGAAAAGAUUAAAAUUUAGAUUGUGAAACAUGUGAGAGUUAAAAUAGACCAAUAGUUUAUGCACCUCUCAAUAAAUACAAUAUUUGUAAAAUAAGUAAUCGAGACAUUUUGGGGAAAGAAUUAAAUUGAAAUCCUGCAGAAGGUCACCUUUACUUUGUACAGUAGUAUUUAUAUGAAUAUAAAUAUAACACAUAUAUACAUAACUUAAGAUUCGAUUUAAGUUAAAAUAUAUUUAAUUAGCAAAGCGAGCCCCUUACUUCUCUUUAGAAAGCCUUAUUAGUCAUGUGUGAAAGCCAUUACUCGCUACCAGCAUCCUAGAUGUGGUGCGCUAGCUAGAUGUGGUGCGCUAGCGCGUCUAUAAACUAAGACUCUUCCAUGGAAUUGUACUCCACAAGCUUUUAUUUAAAAUAGCGGGAGAAGGAAUGGCUGGUCAAUCUAUCUCCCCUGAGAGUUGCUUUUCAUCCUGUGAUUUCUCACUUAGGAAUAAAUGGAGUAAGGGCGCAACCGAAUGGCCCGAUUGAAAGGAAAGGAGGGGAACGUGUUACAUACUUGGAAGGAGACGGAGAAACUCUCAGUUAUAUUUGAAAAUGAAUAUUUUAUCCAUAAAAAUGAAGAUAACUUUCUUGGAGUUCUGCUUAUUCCUCCUCCUAAAAUUAAAGAAAUACUUGCUAGAAAUCUAUGGUUAGGUCGGCACAAUAAAAAGAGACGGGACUUUUGGGGCUGACUUACAGUAAAGACUCAACUCCUUUAAAGAUCCUUUACUACACGAUUUCUACAUAUCUCCUUUCAUUAUCGACUGCAUUCUAUUAUAGAAACAACAACGGGAGGUUCAAUCAAAAGUACUUAGCGUGCAUUCGCUUCAAUGUUAAAGCAAAUAAGCAAGAAAAAUCUCAUUCUAUUUUCAUAUGUAAUUUCAAAAAGAAUCUAGUAAACUCGUCUCUUAUAUAAAAUAUAUAAUCUUUGAUAGUAUUUUUAGUAUCUAUCAUUUCAAAGGCACACAAAUUGAAUCCUCAGGCAGUUCAUGUUUAUUAAAAUACUAAGCACGUUCACCAUUCAAUUGUUAAAUUAUGUCACCAAUAAGUUCUUGUUCCAAUUUUCGGUAUUAAAGUUACUGACCGUAUAAACCCUUUUUUUUUUUUAUAAUUUCGGUACUUCUAACAUUUGAAAAUGAGAUAGAAUUUUUUUAGCAAGUAUCUUUUGUUCGAAUCGACAAUAAAAUUCGCAUAGAAAAGUGUUUAAUACUCCCCUAAAACGGGAAGAAUUUAAUCAAAUAUAAACAAUUUAACAGAUGCAGAUAUUUCUUAAGCAUAAUUAACAAGCAUCAUCAAAGUUAGUAAUUGUUGCAUCCAAAGUUUUCUAUAAGACAUGCAUAUAUAUAAUCAUAAUCAUAUGCAUACGGAUAUAGAUAUGUAAGAGAUAAGCAAAUAAGGACAAUUCAUUUGAAUGCGCACCUUAAAUUGGUCUACCAUGACUUCAAUGUUGCUUUUGCGCAGAUCAAGUCCAACUAACUUCUUUGGGCCAGAGGGAAAUUCGAGAACCCCAAAAGGACAUUCAGGCCAUUCAAGCCAUCUCAAUUUAUUAGGAAGAUAGAUACGAUCUUGAAAAGAGAUAUGCACAUUAAUCAUGAUGAGCAACCUCAAGCUUCUCAUGUUUGUGGAAGCAUUGGGACUUAUAAAUAUUGCUUCUGCAUCGGGUAAAAUCAAAACUAUGGCUUUUACUGCAUUUGUUCCCUACAUUUAUAGAACUUGCAUUGCAAUUAGUAUAUGAAGUCAGAGAAGAAGAGAGUAAAAUCAGUGUUUAAACCACCAAAACUUACCAUAUCCCCUGAUAGAACAUCACAGACAUCUUCACGGAGCCAUAACCUGCUGCGUCCCCUAGGAUCAUCGCAACAUUCUUGUUUAACAAUAUCCAUGCCCAUCAACUGAAUCAAGUCAUGCAUCUGUAUUGUCGCCCCAUAUUUAGUUAUUAAGGACUUCUCAACAAGAACUUCUACUCCAAUCAUUGUGUCAAAGUCGCAACUGUCAAGGACUUUUAUAAUAUACUCCAUAGAUCGCCCCUUGAAGAAACAUGCAAUAUCAAGGAAUAUUUCCUUUGCAUAGUCCUCUAGUCCAUCGAAACUUAACUUGAGAACAUCAUUGAUGUCUUUGUCAGGAUUUUUGGCAAGUUUACUCAAUGCGCUUUCCCACUGCUGUUCUGUUCUACCACAUAGGAAAGAGCCCAAUACCUCAAGUGCUAAAGGAAGUCCAUUAGCAUAUUGCAAAGCACUAUCCACAAGAUCCCUCCUCAUCACUAUUUCCUCACUUCCAAAAAGAACAUGUUUAUUGAAAAGUUCAAGAGCUUCCAAAUCAUCUAGAGUUUUAACUUCAAAGAUAUGAUCUUCAUCUAUCCUAUGGAAAGUUAAUAGAUGUUUAUCUCUCGUAGUAAUGAUGAUUCUGCUUCCUUUACCAAACCAUUCACGCCCUCCAGCUAAAGCAUUUAAUUGUUUUACGUUAUCAACAUCGUCGAGAACAAGGAGGACUUUUUUGUGGCAAAGUCUACGUCGCAUCAAAUUAAUACCUCCAUCAACACUAAACACUGUCAAUUCUUUUCCCACUAAUAUCUCGGACAACAAUUUUUCCUGCAAAUGAACAAAAUCCUUGGAAUCUUUUGAAGUUUCACGAACGUUUGCCAAAAAACAUGAAGCCUCAAAUCCCCUGAAUAUAUCAUUAUAAAGGGCUUUGGCUAAUGUUGUUUUUCCUAUGCCUCCUUGUCCCCAUAAUCCUAUCAUGACAACAUCAUCAUGAGACUCAAGAUUUAACAUAGAUUCCAGCUUUACCACUUGUCGAUGUAUUCCAACUGGAUGCUUGGCAACAUGUAACGGUUUUCGGUCCAGCAGCUUAGAGAUCUCCCGCACAAUUCUGUUGAUAAGAUCUGCUUCAUCUCUGACAAAAUCCGGAAAGGUACUAGAUAUAUCAAUUUCCAAAGAUAAUUAACUUUCAUGGAAAAAGAAGAAGAGAUUCAGCAUAUAAAAAAGAAAAAAACAAAGCAGUGUCACAUCAAUCACUACUUAGUACUUACUUAUCCUUUAAAUCCCACCCAGACAAGUUACCCGCAUCAAAGAGAGCCUUCUCCCAUCUCUUCACUUUCUCUGAAUCUCUCCCAAACUUGUUCUCAUGCUUAACCAUAGCUUCUCGGUAGCUCCCUCUUGGCGUUCUCACUUCUCUAGGAUCCACUUUGUAAAACACCGAAAAUACCGUGAGUCCUCUUUGCUCCUUGCACUCCAUGAUUUUGUCCACCUCUUCCAAACACCAUGGCGAGGAUGCAUAGCCCUCAGAGAAAAUGAUGAUCGCGAUGCGCGAGUCCUCAAUCGCCUUAAUAAGCGCUGGUGUUAUUUGUUCGCCUUUCUGAAGCUCCUCGCUAUCGACGUAAGUGUAGAUUCCUUUCUGGUCAAGAGCCGUAUAGAGAUGACCAAGGAAGUUGUUUCGAACGUCAGUACCUCUGAAACUCAGGAAGACGUCAUAAUUCCCUUUCAGAUCUGAAGAAGCAGCCAUUAGAGGAGAUGAAGUUUGAUGUGCUUCCUCAGAAUGCUUAGUGUCUGGUCGGGUUGCAGCUCUAUCUCUCAUAUGGAUAUCGCUUUGUACUAAUAAAGAAAUAGAAACGAAAACCAGAUCAUUUCUCAUGCUCCAAGUCGAUAACCAUAUACUCCACCAACUAAUUUAACAGAAAGCAGCAUUUUGCAUAAGGUGCACGGAACCAUCCUAUAUAGGUGCUUCUUGACUUGACUUGACUUGCCUUUUCCAUUAAUAAAAGAAAUAGAAAAGAAAACUAGCAACACUCCCAUGCUCCUGGUGCUAAAUUGCUAUUAUACAUGAGUCAAUCGCAAAAAACCGCUUGUUGGAAUAUUAUUUAUAAUGAACAAUCUGACUUUUUUCUUUCAAAAGGGAUUCUACAAAAGCAAAUCCCAAAAUAAAUUUCCCUCACUUUUCAUACUAAAAUUUUCCAUACCAUGUCCUGCAUUGAACAGAACAAAUUCGAAUCUGUUCAGGCAUUUCUUCAAACACGUAGUGGGCAGCGAGUUGGAGAGCGAAUAUGGAUCUAUUCGGAGCUCGAGCUCACACUUAAACUCAAGAGAAAUCAGCGAGCAACGUUCAAACUUAAGAAAAACCGACUCAUUCAGAUCCGACGCGAGUGAGGACUAAAGAAAUCGAGCUUGCUUUGCUUUGCUCUUUUAAAAUCAAGCAGGACGAGGCAAAAAAAAAAGAAGGAACGAGAACUCAAUCGUGGGGGCCCUACCUGGCUUGGAUUCCGUGGGCAUCGUCGGCGGCGAAGGUUGAGAAUAGCGAUUCCAAACUCGUGUCAGGCGUCAGUCGACUCCACCGAGGUCAGGGACGGCGACGACGAAUGGCAGCGGGCGGAGGAUGCUCUGGAGGUGGCGGACGACGUAGAUCGGCUGUGGCUCUGAGGUUUUGUGUGGGGCUUCAAUGGCAACCGUUCACGGAGUAGAGAAAGACCAAGAUGCUUCUUUUUUUUCCCCCCUUUUUCGUGAGAAGUAAAGAAGUAGGUGACAGUGAAGGAGUGAGGUAGGAAUCCGGGAAUGUGAUGCGAGAGCAGUCGCCGGCGGGAGGUAGGUACUCGGACAGAGAUGGUGGAGGUGGCUGGUCAGGUGAGUUCAGGAGAAAGGGUGAGGAAUGCUUUUUUCUUACUUUUCCAGAAAAUGCUCCCUGAAGAUGGUGGUCUCCUCCUCCUCCCUUUUCGAGAACGCCCUGCUUUUUUUUCCUUUUGAUGGGAAAUUGUGUCUUUUAAGAGAGAGCGUGAGAGAUCCCUAGAAAGAACUUCCCUUUCAGAUUCGAAGAAUCGGCUACUAGCGGAGAUGAAUGUCGAUGUGCUUCCGCAGAAUGCUUACCGUCUGGUUGGGUCACAGCUUUAUCUCUCCUGUGGAUAUCACUGUGUUCUUUUUGACCCUGACUUUCUCGAAUCACGCGACAGUGCUAAUCAAAGAAAGUCAUAGAAAAGAAAGUAAAGGUGAAUUAUUGCACGCGUAAUUUCCUCGGAAGGUGCGUAAUAUUUACGCGUAUCCUUUCUUUAUUUUCUUCCUCUGUUGGCUUGACUUGCUUUUUCUACUAAUAAAGAAAUAGAAACAAAAACCAACGAAUCAUUUCUAAGGCAUCCAGGAUGUUUUACCUGGCGGCCUCUUCGUGGGAAUCUGGCCUGGGGAAAAUUUCCCUAUUGGGUUAAUAGUAAAUCCCAGCGGUUUAUCAUUACCUCAUUUUAUGUUUGAAAUUGAGUUCGAUAAACGUAAUAGUUUAAGAUCUUGCUAAGAACUUAUCCACCAAGUAAUUUAAUAAAAAACAACAUUUUGCAUAAGGGGCAUGGAACCAUCCUGUAUAGUGCUUCUUGACUUGUCUUGCCUUUUUCAUAAAUUAAAGAAGUAAAGAAAGCUAACUAUACUCCCAUGCCCUCGGGUUUAAUCUACAUGAGUCAAUCACAAAAAUAUCGCCUCUUGGAAUAUUAUUUAUAAUGAACAACCUAACUUCAAAUUUCAAAAUAAAUUUCCCUCACUUCUCGUACUAAAUUUUUCCAUAUUAUAUCUUGCCUAAAGAUUAUUGAGUCAUCACCCCCUCACCCUAAUCACUUUGAUCUCACUCCUUAAUUUUUUUUUCAACAUUUUAUAUUUUUAAUGUCACAUUUAGAAUUUCUUAGCUAACCGAGGCCUACAAGGGGCAGCCUCUAGUGAUGGUCAAGCAAGGUUCCCUUCGCCAAACAAAUAUCGUUGAUGUCCACCAUGGGAUUUUCAAACUCGAUUACAUGCAUGCAAAUUGCUUUCAGUCAUCAUUUUUUUUUUUUGCUUCUUUCUUUUUUCUCGAUUUCUUUUAGCUUGAGAAAUUCCUCAACUUACAAUUAUUAUUCGAUUUUAUGAGCUUAAUGACUUGUUUGUACUCUCGUCUGUCAUCUUUUUUGCUUCUCCCAUUGUCUUAUGAAAUGGAUUUAACUUUGAUCCCCCCUAAUUAACUCCCCCAGGAAGAAAAGCCUUGAGACUUCGAGAAUAGAAGUCCACUUAGAAGUCCACUGGCGCCACGCAAUUGCCGCUGGGAAUCACACAGAGAAAAGGUUGAAAGUUAAAGACCCUUUUCUCUUUCAUGCACGCAAGAAAUGUCAGACGAGAAAAAACGUGAGCGGCCGUAGUCAAAGCCAAGAAGGCGAAGGAGGUUGUCGUUUUCGUGGGGUGUUAUUGCGUGGGGGUUGGUCGGUGGUAGCUUCAAUCGGCAUGUUAAAGACGACUGGAGAGAGACUGGUCAAAUCCCCGGUCAGAACUUUCAUUUUCUUUUCUCUUCUUGAAAGGAGCCCAUCACGGAUUAAUAUUACAUACGCCUUUAUUACACUGCUUGUUAAUGCGAUAGGCGAGAGAGCGAUAGAAGUAAAUGUUUGUCGAGCGACUUCUUACAGCCAUCUUUCAUCAUUCUCAUCUCUCUUUUCAUCAUCUCUCUCGUGGGAUGGUGAACAUAUAGAUUUGUGCGCUCUUCCUAGUUCCCACACAUCUCCUGUCUUCUCGACCAGUCUAGUGCAUACAUCACUUCUCAACACAUCUCUUCUUGACCCCUAUGUAGCUGGUGCCCGCCUCUCCCAAGGUUUGAAGCUUUCUGGAUGACGUGGAAGAUUGGAAUAGAAAUGGAUAUAGACUAACAAUCACAUGAGUAUUGCAAUUUCUUUCUGAAAAUCAUUUCUUUUUUUAAUCUUUUUAUCGUCUUCAGAGGAAUGAACACCAACAGUUUUAAGAUAUGCUAAAGGCAGCCCGAAAUGAUCUCGACGAGAUGAUAGUUUUAAUUAAGUUGCAUGGGGUUUUGGUUGCCGAAUACAUUAGAUGAAGAAGAGAUAUUCUCAUUGUUAAUGCUGACAAGCUUUAAUGAUAGCGGGAACCUCGACCGCGAUGAAAUCGGCAACGUUGGCUGCCAGAAGGGGCUGGACUCCUCGCUCGUGGAGGCCAACUAAGCUUCUGCUUCCCAGCCUACUCAUAUUUCUUUUGGUCAUAUCGGCCUAGUUAGGCAAAGGCAUAUUUAUCUUUUAAGAAAAGAGAUCAGUCUAUGUUAGUUUCUAUUCCAAUCCUUCAACGCCAUGCGGAAGGCUUUGAACCUUUGGCAGAGUUGGGCAGCCCGCUCCAUUGAUGGAUGAGAAGAGAUGUGUUGAGAAAAGAAGUAUGCACCAAUGUGUCAAGACCUUGUUUAUCCAGUUAAAAAGCUAUCAAUCUACGCAGUUUGCUAAAUCCGAAUUACCUGAUCAGACGUUUCUUCACUCACAUUUCAUUUUAAAUUGUAAUAUUUUUUUUCCCAUCUAGUAUUCGUUACUAAGGCAAUUUUCUUUUUCUUUCGGGAGAGGGGAGGGGGGUGGAGCUCCUUUUCUGCGUGAACAAGUUCUGCAAGAACAAGACUCAGUUGUUCAUCAAAUUUACGAAAUUAUCGCACAAGUUAUGCUCUUCAGUUAAGUAUACCGCCAUUAUUCCAUUAUUUCUGUUUACUGGGCCAAGAUCUUUACGAAUCGAAGCGAGGGAUGAACAAAUUGCUCACCCUUCUGGGGAAGGUUUUCUCUCAGUUUCCUACUUUGGCUUCUCUUGGCCUUCUAUAGCUUCUCCUUUAACUGUCUUCAAUGCCGCAUAUGAAAAUCUCAGCCUCAGCCUCAGCCUCAGCCUCAGUGGCUCUAAUAAGAUUCACUCCUUUAUGUUUGGAUUCUGAUAGAACAUAUUCUGUGAAUGCAGGCACCCACCAUCGCAGCUGCUGCAAACUUGAGAAUGGCAAGAAGGUCUCCAGUUCUCCCAUCUACCAGAUGGCAUCUAGUAAUCUUUCUCAUGCAGAGAAAUUUUCUACACUUGCUGGAUCCGUUGCAAGUGUUUUCCAUGUCUUAUGCUUUUGUCUAAUUAAUGUUUCUUAUCGGAGGUGAAGAUAGAAGAAGGGAAAAUUAUUGAUCGGAGGGACGAACCCCAACCCUCGGUUGGUAGGGGUGCUAGACAUCCUCUUCAUAUUGCAUGCUGAACAUGAAAUGAAUUGCUCAACGGUGCUGCUAGGCAUCUUGCAUUGAGGAAUUCCGCUUUCAAUGCCGUAGGUGACAAGUCCUACAAGCUAAGCGCCGACGCAUUUGCUGACGUAACCAACGACGAGUUUAAGGACCGCUAGGACUGGUAGAAAUGCUUUGUUCAGGUACGAGAAUGCAAAUGCGGUGCCCGCGGCCCUGGAAUGGAGGAAGAAAGGAGCUGUCAUGGGCAUCAAGGACCGAGAAAGUCGUUGUAAGGAAAAUAAAAUUGAUGGUUUAAUCCUACGGAUAUUCACGUUUACGUGUGUAAUCAAUGCAUAUUGCUUUUAUGUUCUAGGUCCAACACACAUGAUCGAAUGAUCGUAGCUACGUGUAGUUAGUACAUUCCGAAUUUUCCAAUAGCAUUCAUACUCUGUUUAUUUCGCGAAAUAUAGAAAAGUAUUUUAAAAAAAAUUAUCUCUUGAAAUAAUGAGUUAAUGGAAAUUCAUCAUGCACAAUAAUUAAUGUCUAAAUAUUUUCAUGAACGGUAAAAAUUUUAUUUCCUAUUUAUUUAUAUAAGUGUUAUAAACGAUCAUUUUUAAUAUAUCAUUUAUUUCCCCUAAAAAAAUGAGUCUCGGAUUAGUUGACUUUUAUGGCAUGUGUGAUUAUGCUGCCUCUCAAUUAAUCAAAUAGGAACCUGUUGGCCUUUCUCAACCGUGGCAGCCACCGAGGGCAUCCGCCAGCUACAAAGAGGGCAAGCUAACCUCCCUAUCGGAGCAAGAACUCGUAGAUUACGAUGUUAACGGCGAGGACCAAGGUUGCGAAGGUGGUCUCACGCGAUAUGGUUUUUAAUUUAUCAUAAACAGUGGAGGCCUCACUAUCGAGGCUAAUUAUUCCUACGACGGGAUAGACGGAACUUGCAAGACCGCAAAAGAAGCCUCCCACAUGGCUGAAAACCGCGGGGCACAACCCCAUGCCUGCCAACAACGAGGCCACGCUGUUGAAGCCCGUGGCAAAUCAUCCGGUGUUGGUUUCCAUUGACGUCGGAGGGAUAGUAAGUAAAAUCUGUCAAGGCCCAAGCUGGUGAUGUGUUUUAUGGGUCAAGCCAUGUUGUGUUAUUCGGGUCGAGGCCCAUACCUCUGUUUUGUGUUUUUGUAGCCCGAGGUCACCGUCUUUUGUGGUUCAAUUCAAAGAAAAAGACUAGGGUUGGAGGGGAUUUUGGAGAUUUAAGUUGAGUUACCUCGAAACAAAAGAAUACCUAAAUUAAAAGGGAACUGACCUGAUAUUGAACUCAAGCGUGAAAGGAACGAAAAUGCCAUUAAGAAUCUUAAAAGAAAGUAGGCCAAGCAACUUGACAAGCAAAUGUCUUUCAGCCUGGGCUGCACAAGUUGAUGGUUUUCCUUCGGUUCAACUUCACGACCAAUCUACACGUCUAUGACAAUCUACAGAGAUUAGUGUCUUAUGACCUAAAAGACCUUUUCUUCAACAGGGGUUUAGUGCAAUCAGCCUGUGAUUUAGUCCAAUGUGGCUGGGACCCGUAUGAGGCAAAUACUAUACAAAUUGUUUAACAUGAGUAAAACUGGCCCCGUACUGCAAACUUUGGCAUCAUCAUAAGGGAAUUCGAGAAUACUCAAUUCAUUUAAACAAAGAAUAAACCUCGACUUACCAAUUAUCUCAGAUUUUAGAUAAAUAAAUAUAAUGUUUAUUAAUAAUUGUCGUUUUGUGCUAAUUCUCGUAGAGGGACUACAAGAGCCAUCUUUGGCAGUCUUGAAACAACCAUCCACCUAAUUUAAGCCCGGUAUGCUGCGGCUUACCCUAUAUGAAGGGGAAGAAGGGAUGCGUCCUCUGAGAAUUUUUGCCGCCGACAUUUUCUCUCGAUGAACUUGUGCCAUGUCAAUAGCAUGAUAAGGUAGCCUGCAUUUCACAGCGAUUUUUACUUGGUUUCAAAUGAUGCAAGCAUGCAACGACUCGAAAGUUCAACUAGAAAUGAAGGCAAAAGAUGAACGGAAAAGGAAGGCAUGGUGAGUAAAAUCUACUGGUCAGCAGACCUCAUAGUUGCUCCCUCAAUUAAGUUGUGAUCAAUUCGACAGCAAGAGUUGCAAUCUGACACUGGCAUAGUUUUUGGUGCCAUAGAACUCAGGGCCGCGGGAGUCAUGGUUCCGACGCCUUCUAGGAGCGUGAGCUUAUAAUUUUCCUUUCAUAGUGUUUGACUAUUGGUGACUCUAGCCAUCUGACCAUCUUGCUGUACAAGCUGAUCAUCUUGAUCCAGAUCUGUUUGACUUGGACCAUCUUCCUAUGUAAGUGUAUUCUCUUCCUCUGAGUCUGUUUGAUCAUCUUCCUUUGAGUUUGUGCUAGUUCAAGACAAUCCUGAUAAACCAAAUUUAACACCAGUGACUGAUUGUCAUGAAGCAAAGACCCUUGGAUCAUUCUCUUGUUGCUUGCAUACUAGUCCAAACCCGCAGUUUCUUAGGGUGCGUUUGGCUGCACCCUGUUUCUAUUCCCAGGAACAGAAAUUUCUGUUUUGUUGUUCUUGGGAACAAAAAAGGAACAGAAACGCGUUUAGGUGCGUUUCUGUUCCUUUUUUGUUCUUUUGUUCCCAGGAACAAAAAAGAAACAGAAACAAGAAACACAAAAUUUGUGUUUCUUGUUUCUGAAACACAAUUGAGAAACAAAAAAGGAACAAAAUUGUGUUCCUUUGCUAUUUCUUGCUCCCUUCGAACACCGCCUCUCUCCCCCCCGCGACGAGCUUCUCCUCCUGCGAGCAGAGAAGUCCAUCGUCUUCUCCGGCGCCGACAGUGGCCUCUGUCUCGACAGCCGCUGCUCCUUCACCAGGUAAACGUGGUCACUGCUCCUCCUUCACCGAUUGUCUUCACUUCAGCGAGAGCCACCCCUCGCAGAUCUGGGCAAUGGCUAGUCGGAGCUCGAGUGUUAGGGCUCGCUCGAGCCAGCGCUUGCCUAGAUGUGCGAGCCGCUUGCUCGAGCGAGUCUCACAGAUCUGGGCGAGCGUUGCUCACCCAGAUCUGCGACAGCAGCUCGUCUGCUCGCUCGAGAUCUGGGAGAGAGAGCAGAGCAGCGAGCGUCGCUGCUGGUCAGGCUCGAGCGAGCAGAGCAGCGAGCGUCGCUGCUGCUCAGGCUCGAGCGAGCAGAGCAGCGAGCGUCGCUGCUGCUCAGGCUCCAGCGAGCAGAGCAGCGAGCGUCGCUGCGUCGCUGCUGCUCAGGCUCGAGCGAGCAGAGCAGCGAGCGUCGCUGUUGCUCAGGCUUGAGCGAGCAGAGCAGCGAGCGUUGCUGCUGCUCAGGCUCCAGCGAGCAGAGCAGCGAGCGUCGCUGCUGCUCAGGCUCCAGCGAGCAGAGCAACGAGCGUCGCUGCUGCUCAGGCUCCAGCGAGUGUCGCUGCUGCUCAGGCUCGAGCGAGCAGAGCAGCGAGCGUCGCUACUGCUCAGGCUCCAGCGAGCAGAGCAGCGAGCGUCGCUACUGCUCAGGCUCCAGCGAGCAGAGCAGCGAGCGUCGCUGCUGCUCAGGCUCAAGCGAGCAGAGCAACGAGCAUCGCUGCUGCUCAGGCUCCAGCGAGCCGCCCGCUGUGUGCCGGAACUGGAACCAUCGGCGACUCUUCUGCCGUGCCCAAUGGUGCUGGCACUGGUGAUGGGGAAAGGGCACGAAACGGGGCAAAUAUCUGGCCUUUGCGGGCGUUCCUCGACACCAUGAGGAGUUGCUGUUCCAACAAAUCUUUGUCCCGCGAUCCUGUUGUUCCGUGGCAAAAAAAACGACGCCCUAUCUAGGCCAAUAUCUUCCGGUGGGUAUUUUCCUAGUCUUUCUCCAUUUUAUUGAUCUAUUAAUGUCAAUCAAAGUAGUCAGCAAGAAUCAUGCAAAUGCCUGAAUCGAGCGAGCAGAGCAGCGAGCGUCUGCUCGCUUGCUUCUCCGCUCGAGCCAGCAGAGCAGCGAGCCCUGCUCUGCUCGCUCGAGCGCUCGCAACAGCAAGCAUAGAAGUUAUUGUUGCCAAGCGAGCGUCUGCUCACUGCUGCUACACUUUUCAUUGUGUGUGGACUGUCAAUUGACAACAUCGGGCAUGACAAAAUAGCCUUUUAUCACUCUCAUAGUUCUAUACAUUAUUGUUUCUUUAAUCUCAAUCUCUAUGACAUCAUGUAGAUCUAUGGAUUUGUGGCUGAAUAUAUCAAAGUGAUGUGAAUCAAUGCCGAAGUUAUUGUUAUUUAUUUUUCUGCCUUUGUGUUAAAGCUUCUCAAUUUGCGUUUUGUCCUAUAUUGCUUGGAUUUGGUUUAAUAUUAGUAUUUUCUGUGUGUCUCUAUGAACCCUUGCGGCUCAGCCACAUUUUGAUCCAAUCGGAAGUCGAGGAAGAAAAAGGAAAAAAUGGGUGUUAAAAGUGAGAAAGACAAAAGGAAGAAGAUGACGCCCAAAGAAGAGAACGUGUAGAGGGGUAGACUAAAGGGGAGGAGAAAAAUAAAAGUAAAAGAAAAGAAAAGAACAGAAAAAAAAAAAAGGCACGUGAGAAGAGAGUGGCUCGAUUCUCUCCCUCGCUCUGUUUUGUGCUGGUGUUUUUUGUGUUUCUUCUCCUCCCCUCCCCCCUUUGGGUAGGUCGCGACAACUGCUUAGUGAAAACUUUGUGCCCUACCAUGUCAUUUUUCAUAUGCAACCGCAUAUGACGUGUAGUUCAUUUAGUACAUUCUUUGUGAAUCUAUAAGAACAACAUUGUUCGACUUUUUUUUGUAGGAAUGUUGGGGAUUAUACAUUAUGCGAGAUCCUUGGUAUCUUAUGGCUAUAAUGCUUCGAUUUUUUCUCUUUAAGUUAUGGAUUUGCAGAGAAUGGAGGGUGCUGUUUCGUUGUUGGCUUAUUGCUUAUUGUCUUGAAUUUUUCUUUACUUAAGGUACAUCCUCAAUUGGUUGAUUCAUUCUCAGGUGAACGCUGAUGCUUUGAGAACUUCGGUGGAUCCAUCCAAAGUUCCGGAUUGCCGGUGCCAAUCCACGAAGACAUAUUCUUUUUCCCUUGCUUUGUCCGGAAUUUGCCAGUCCCUGCCACAUAAAUCGCAAUUUGCUGAAUUUGGAAACAAUCAUCCGCACGCUAAGGUUGGCCUCUCGGCUUUUUUUUUCAUUGUCUUAAUCUUAGAGAUCUUAUAAUUUAGUUGGACCAUUCACAAAAUAGGAUAGGGUAUACGGAUCCAUAUAGGUUACCAUGCUAAUUUUGUAUAUGGCGUGUAGUUCUUACGGUUUUAUGUUAAUGAUUUAAUUCAUAACUCAUGUGAUGCUCAACCGGUCGAAGAUUCAAUGGCAUCCGAGAGACACCCAUUCAAUGCAAAGUGGACGGAGUCUGUAACCAAUAUACUUAUCGGUUUAUUGGUGGAUGAGGUCAAAAAGGGAAACCGCACCUCUUCCACUUUCAACAAAGUGGGGUGGAGGAAUGUACAGUCUGAACUCAGUAGACAGACAGGAUUCCAAUUUACCAUGGUUCAGCUGAGGAACAAGGUAAACAAAUUGAAAAAACAGUAUGGCAGUUUUCACAAACUCAUUUCUCAGUCCGGAUUUGGUUGGGAUAAUGUCAACAAAAAAGUUAUUGUCGACGAUCCAAGUGUAUGGGAAUCUCAUAUCAAGGUAUUUCUUAACUUUUGUGGUCAUUUUGAUAUCAUUACAGAUGUCAUUUAUAAAAUGUAUGAUUAUAUUGCUGAAAUGUCAUUAUUGUAAAAAUUGUAGGAUAAUGUCGAGUGUGCAAAAUUCAUGAAGAAUGGACUUCCUCAGUAUCCUUGAGCUUUGUAUUAUUUUUGGUGGUACAUAUGCUACUGGUAAUUAUGCCGUAUGAUGUGCUCAAGAAGACCAUAUGUCGGAUGAUGAUGACAAUGGUGAUGACAAUGUACGUGGUGACAAUAGUGGUGGCGAUGCAGAUGGUGUCAAUGCAGGUGGUGACUAUGAUGGUAGCAAUGCAAAUGAUUUCAUUGGAUACCAUAGUGAUGACAGACUUUUUACAACAGACGAUACUGGAACUUCAGCUCGUGGGAAGCACAAAUUGGAUAGAACUCCAAAUAGUAGGCGGAGAAGAAAGAGCAACCAAUCCAAUUUUGCUGAAACUUGUAGAGCCAUACAAGAUUUUCUAAAAGUUAGGUCAUCAACUCCAUCUGGUGAUGGCUCUGCGAGCUCAGGGACUUCACAACCACCUGUUGACCCUUUCUCCGUAUCUACUGCGGUCCAGAUUCUAAACAAUAUGCCCGAGCUAGAGCAAGAUGUUUACAAUAAAGCAGUGGAACGAGCAUGCGUCAAUCGUGAAUGGAGGGAGGCUUUCAUUACAUGCAUACCUGCAAGGAGGAUUGGCCUUCUUCAAUUUCUUUAGUAGAUAUUUGGAAAUAUAUUAUGAAUUGCAUGGAGUUUCAUUAGAUUGUAUAACGUAUAUUAUCUAUUAAUAUCUAGUUUAUUCAAAUAUGAUUAGUGUUGAGACUCUUGUACUUAUAUGUAAUGGCAUAUCUUAUUGAGAUUUUAUGACUUAUGUUAUUAAUUGUUAUUAGGAUGUGUUUUCAAAAUCUAUAUUGAUGUUUUGGUCAUUUUUGUGAUUGUAUAGGUACUAUGGAAGGGGGAUCAAAUAGUGUGUCUAAUGAGCAAGUACAACCAGUUGAACAAUUCUCGGGUGAUGACAUUAACAUAUUGGUAGCGUGGCUCUGCUUAGGUACGAUGGAGACAUCCCUCAAUAUGAGAGAACCUAUUAGGGAUAGUCAAUUAUCGGGAGGAGAAUGGAUAAGGGAGAUUGUUCAUGGACAUUCAGAUAGGAUAUAUGAAGCAUUUAGGAUGGAGAGACAUGUUUUUCUCAAUUUAUGUGACUUAAUGAGGGUAAGGGGUUGGUUGAAAGAUAGUAGAUUUGUUCAAAUAGAUGAACAAGUUGGGAUAUUUUUAAGUGUGGUUACUCACAAUAACUCAAAUAGAGAUUUAUGUGAGAGAUUCCAACAUUCAAGAGAAACGAUCAGCAGGUAUUUCAAUAAAGUGUUGAAAGCAAUGAUCAAACUUUCAAAGGAGAUAAUCAAACCACCGUCCUUUGACGUCAUUCCACAAGAAAUUCUUAUUGAUCCUAGUCAUAAACGCUACUUCAAGGUAUGAUUUUUAUAUUGAUUUUAUACCGUGAAAUACAUGUAGUUGAUAAUCUUAUAUGAUAUUAGAUUGUUAAUAUAUUAACAGGGCUGCGUAGGUGCUAUGGAUGGCACCCAUAUAGAUGCUACCGUUCCUGUGUCUCAGCAGAUUCCAUUUAGAGGUAGGAGUGGGAGAACAACUCAGAAUGUGCUGUGUAUUUGCUCUUUUGAUAUGAAAUUUACUUUCGUGUAUGCUGGAUGGGAAGGAUCUGCCAACGAUUGUCGAGUGCUUUCAGCAGCACUCGAAAAUCCACAACUGCAAUUUCCCCGACCACCACCUGGUAUUUACUUUGUUUAUGAAGACAAUUUUAUGAUUAUAUAUUAUGGUUCAAUAUCACAACAAAUUUUAUAUAUAUCAUGUUACAGGGAAAUAUUACGUGGUAGAUUCAGGUUAUGCAGCACUUCCAGGAUUUUUAACUCCAUUUAGAGGCGAUCGGUAUCAUCUAAGCGAGUAUAGAGGGAAUGGGGGACGACCAAGGACAGCAAGAGAAUUGUUCAACAAAAAGCACUCUUCACUGAGAAAUGUAAUUGAGAGGUCAUUUGGGGUAUUAAAGAAUCGAUUCACCAUUUUGAGACAGAUGCCUCCAUUUACAAUUCGGAAGCAAGCACUUGUUGUAAUUGCUUGUUGUGCUCUCCACAAUUACAUUCGUGAUCAAGAUGCGAUGAAUAGAAACUUUUCCCUAUAUGGAGAUCCGGAAUAUGUAUGCGGACCUACAGAAUUGGAGGUUGCAGAUGAUACAUUGCAUGAUGCACCUGGAAUAAACAUGCUUAGGACAAGGAUUGCAAAUAAAAUGGCGAGGGAUCAUAAUAUGCCUGAAAUUUCAUGACUUUGUGUUUCCGACUUUUGUAAUUUUGUUUUUAAGUAUUCACUUAUCAAAUCCAAUGUGAUGAAGUUGAACAAUGAACUAUAUUACUUCAUUAUUGUGAUGUUAUGUAUGAAAGGGUCUACGUAGAGAUCUAUGAAGUAUUCUUCUUUUAGGUAGCUCUUAUUGUGGGAUUUUUACUUACGAAAUUUUGUUCCAAGUAUGCACAUGACCAUAUUCAAAAUGUUUGUCUUCACCAACCAUGAACAAAAUUAAAUUGAUGAGCAUUUCAUUAGAGUGAUAAUGCAAUACCGAGUUUACACUUUAUUGAAAAAAAAGGCACGUGAGAAAAAUUUGGAACAAAGUUUAUUUAUAAAAUUUUCUUCAAAGUAUGCACUUAUAACCAUGUUCAGAAUGUUUGACUUUACUCACCAUGAACAAAAUUAAAUUGAUGAACAUUUUAUGAUAAUGAGAAUUCAAAGUCAAGUUUACACUUUAUUGAAAAAAAGGCACGUGAGAAAAAUUUGGAACAAAGUUUAUUUAUAAAAUUUUCUUCAAAGUAUGCACUUAUAACCAUGUUCAGAAUGUUUGACUUUACUCACCAUGAAAAAAAUUAAAUUGAUGAACAUUUUAUGAUAAUGAGAAUUCAAAGUCAAGUUUACACUUUAUUGAAAAAAAGGCAUGUGAGAAAAAUUUGGAACAAAGUUUAUUUAUAAAAUUUUCUUCAAAGUAUGCACUUAUAACCAUGUUCAAAAUGUUUGACUUUACUCACCAUGAACAAAAUUAACUUGAUGAGCAUUCUAUGAUAAUGAGAAUUCAAAGUCAAGUUUACACUUUAUUUUAAAAAAAAAUAAAUGGGAAAAUUUUUGUACGAACUUAAAAAAAUUUCUUCCGACUAAGCAAAUAUGAUCAAGUUUAGAAUGUUUGUUUUCACUUAAUAUGAACAAAAUUAAAUUGAUGAGCAUUUCAUGAGAAUGAUAAUUCAAUACCAAGUUCACAUUUUAUUAAAAAAAAAACAAUUAAAAAAAAUUGGAACAGAAAUUUUGUACAUUACCAAACGUGUUUCUGUUCUUUUUUUAUUCCAGAAACAGAAAUUUUUUACAGUUACCAAACGUGUUUCUGUUCUUUUUCUAUUCCAGAAACAAAAAUUUUAUACAGUUACCAAAUGCGUUUUAUUGUUCAGAAAUUGUUCCCAGGAACAGAAACACUUUUUUCUAUUUCUGUUUCCUGGAACAAUUUUUAAACAGAAACGCAAACAAAUGCGCCCUUACUGUUCAAUUUGACGCUUUAAGACAACCCGAAAAUGACUCCGAUCAUUUCACAGGAGCUUUCUACUUCCCACAGCGUACUACGUGGAGGAUGCUUGAGCCGCACAUGGUCCAUUCCUAGUGAAUAGAAGCAUCCUACGUACCAAAUCACCUUUCGGCAGACCUUGCAAGAGAGGCUGAGCUCAACUCCCCCCUCCAAUCCAAAAACAAGAUGGACUGCUAAUCCUAGAAUUCUUCACACAUGUCCUGGGGUAUCAUGAAAGAUAUCGAAUCCUCUUUUACCAUGGAGCCAUCAUUCCAGCAUCUAUGUUCCAGCAAUUACAAUGCGCGCUUUUCCCAUGUUAUGGAAUUCCUGGUUUGCAGGUAACAUCCAUAUCAAGAUAAAAAGAAAGGUGGAGGGAGGGAGGUAUGGAGGGAGAGACUAGCCUCAUGUAACGACACAUCUUCCACGUUCAACCCUAUGUGGAGUGGCUUGAUAAAUCCGGGACUUUUUUGGCAGAGAUUCGCAGUUAGCUGCUUUUAGGAUACAUGUGCUUGAUGGAAGCUGUAGGAUUUCCAGUAAUUGCUCGCAUUUUCACACUCGCGAUUCCUAUAAAUAAUCAUGCUCACCGUCGCAUGAUGGACAGCUAGUAAGAUUGUUUCCACUUCCCAGACACAUAUGAACAUUCCUGGUUGAAGACAACAGGAAAGAUUCUGGAGGAACCUUAAUCCAGGCAUAACACAGCCCCGAGGUCCAACCAAUUCAAAUUCUAAUGUCCAAUGUCCAUAUGUGGUCAGUUAAACCCCUUCGUUUGCUACGCAAACUUGACAGGAUUGGAGCAACCUUCGAGAGUCGGGUACUCGAUGUUUCGCAACUUACAAACUCGUGCAUUUGUAGCCCUUUCUCUUCACCUGUCUAGGACUUAUUGACAACAAGAACAUGUACUUCAAUGGCCGUAUGAAUAUUGCAGCAAUUAAGAACUUUCUUAAUGUAAUCAAUAGUCUGCCCCUCGAGGAAACUGACUAUAUCGAGAAGAAUCUCCUUUGCGUAUCCUCCAGCCAGGCCAUCUUAAGCGCAUCAUUGAUGCUUUCUUUUAGGAGUUUUGAUAAGUUUAUUCAGUGCACGUCCCAUUCACCUCCUCUUCUACUGCACAAAAUGGAACCCAGACACCUCGAGUGCAAAAGGAAGGCUUUUAGCAUUAUCAUUAUGCAAAAUGGUAUUCCUUAAGAUUCCUCUUUAUUUCUAAGUUCUCGCCCCUUAGAAAAGCUACUUACUGAAAGGUUCAAGGGACUAUCAUCUAUAAGAGCUUCAACCAAAUAGAUUCAUCCCAACCUGUAAGUAAGAUGGUCCUUUUUCCCUCUACCAAACCACUCACAUCCUCCGACUAAAUCAUUUCAUCGUGUCAUGCUAUCGACAUAGGGAAGAGUAUACAUCUAAAAAAUAUGCCUACAUGGAGUAUAGAUUAUUUCACCAGUGUGUGUCUAAAAAAUUCAAUUAAUGUUUGAUAACAUCACUGAAUCCAUCAUCUGUCCUAAUUUUGUACAUAAUCAAUUACUUAUUUGAUUGGAAAAUCACUGAUAAAAAAAAGAGAUAAGUUGAAAAUAUUUUCUUUACACUUGCCAUUCUAUAAAUUAAUUGAUAAAAAACAAAAACUGAUCCUAGAUCAAUAUCGUAAAAUUUCACAAAAAAAAAAAAAACUAAAUAACUAAACGAAUUAUCUUUAAUAUCACAUCUAGGAACCAUCUAAUUUGAAAAUAUGAUUCGUACAAUUAUAGUAAAUUUUCAAUAAGUAACGAUAAUUAUUUGUGAUAAUCGUGGCGCAACCGAUUGAUAAAACUUGGAUAUACAUCGGGUCCUAAAAUUGGCGGCAGCAUUGGCGCCGUCACCACCGCAGGGUCGGCCCCUAAAAUAUCUAUUUUCUCGAGCAAACAGAUAAAAGAAGAGUAUAAGAUCAUCUUCCUUCGUGUGUGCUGUUCGCUCUCGACGGUUUCUCCGAUCUCCGGCAGAAAAUAGAGAACCUCUCUCUCUCUCUCUCUCCUUUCUCUCACUUAGAGCAGAGUCACCUGCGAGCGAUGGACACGCUCCUCUCUCCGCUGCUCUCGGCGCCUCUCUCACGCCUCCACUCCACUGCUUGUCCAGUUCAUCGGCCGCCACCAUCCGCCGGGCUUGGCCUCCUUCUCAAUCUGACUUCAGUUUCUGCGAAUCGGGCUUCUGAUCCCUGAAUCACCCGCCGUCGCCGCCGCCGGAGGCGCUCUCGCGGCCAAUCUCGUGCCGGUUCACGCUCUUUCUCUCUCGUUUUGUGUUUCUAGUACUUGGCGCUUGCGAUCGGUUUGGAAUCUCUUGAUGUUGUUUGUGCUUCGUGAUUCUUUGGUGGAAUGUAUUUGUAAUCUCUCUUACUGGCGCUGUGCUUGUGAUGUGCAACCUCGGAUCAGUUUGAGCCGCUGACGUUUGUUGAGAAGUCGAUUCUCUUGUUGCGGUUAUGAUCGUAUGACGUUGCAUUCUAGGGGAUUAGCGAGUCUCUCUCGUUCAGCAAUCGGAAAAAGUUGCUUCCUUUAGUUCACUUAGCGUUGCAAAUGACUAUACUAAGGGCCUGUUUAGUAACCAUCCAAACAGUGCUUGAUUCUGAUUUUUUGUUUCCAGAAUCAGUUUGGGAUGAGAAUUGCGUUUGGUAAAAUUUUUGUUUCCGGGACCAAAUUUGUUCCUGGAACAGAUUGGGAAGAGAAUAAAAAAAAAAAAAGUUCAUUCUUGUUCCGAGAACAAAAUUGAGAAUCAAAACUCUUCUUCUCCUCUUUUCUUCUUCUUCAUUAACUGCCAUCUCGCGACUGCCUCCCGCUGCCCACCGUCAUCUGUUGCCGCCGGUCGCCGCCGAUUGCCAGCAACUAGUCCGACGAGCUCGCUAGAGGCUCUCGUCUAGCCUAAAAAGAAAAAAGAAAAAAGAAAAAAAGAAAAAAAAGAAUAGGAGAAAAAAGAAUAAAAAAGAAAAGAAGAAGAAGAAGAAGAGUAGGAGAAGAAGAAUAAAAAGAAUAAAAAAAAAGAAGAAUAGGAGAAAAAAGAAAAAAAAUAAAGAAAAAAAUAAAAAUAAAAAACGUGCUAUAACCAAAAACCAUUACACAUUGCCAAGCAUCCGAUUGAAAGUUAAUUAUCUUUGGAAAGUUAAAUUAGUGUCUGGUCGAGUUGCAGCUCUAUCUCUCAUAUGGUUAUCACUUGUACUAAUAAAGAAAUAGAAACGAAAACCAAGAUCAUUUAUGAUGCUCCGAGUCGAUAAGCAUAUAGGGUGCGUUUGGUUCAGCAUUUGGAAAGCUCAUUGGGAAAAUGCAAAGCAGUUUAGCCUAAAGGCCUUUGAGGGAAAUGCAAAGACUGUUUGGUAAAUUCUGCUUUGAAAAGCAACUUUGAGACAAAUGCUGUUUGGUAGAAAACACAUUUACAAAGCCCCUUUGGUGAUUUAUCUAAAUAUUUUAAUUUUUAUUUGUUUAAAAUUAAAAAAAUAAUGUUUGCGACUUUUUUAAUUUAUAUUUGACAAUCAUGUUAAAGAUAUUGUGUAAACAAUUUUAUUUAUAUUAAAAUUUCUUUUUUUGCUAAAAAAUAUCAAAUGGAAAAAAAUUACAUACUCUCUUUCUAAAUUACAAGAAGAAUAUUUUUAUUACAAUAAAAAUAUAAUAACAUAUGUUUUAAAGAAAGAAGCUCAUUAUCCUUAAAACCAUAGAAUUGCUUCGUAUCGUUGAGGUAUAAACUUAUUAUGCAAGAUCUAGAGGCAGGCUCAAGUAAAAACAAAGAAGGUUGAAGAUAUUGAUUUACAUCUAAACUAUGAGCAUCACUACAUUUUGCAUCGGAUGCUUUCGAGAAACCCCAAUUGAAUGAACAGUUGGCAAAAUGAGUUAAUGUUUUGAUCCUCAGUGCCAGAACAUGACCCCAGGAUUUUCCCUAAGUAACUCUAGCGAAAACCUUUGGAAAUUGGAUUUGCCAUGGUUAUCGUGGAUCCUUUUGGCCUGUUCUUUUGCUUAGCAUGCUAAAUCCAGACGUGCGACCAAAGUGAUGGAAUUAAUUUGCAAUCUUACUCGUCUGCAAUGGGAGCCUCAACUGUCAAUUUGCGCAACGAACAAUCUAAGAUAGAGUGAAAUCAUACACAGGAGUAGAGUAACUCAAAAACCGCACUAAACCACAUUAUUAUGAUCCAUACUUAACUCUGGAAUCUUAAAUACAAAUCCAAAGCUCAACUCAUAAGGAAAAUAAGGGCAAGCAAAGCUAUUCUCUGCACUGAGCAAGGAGCAGGUGCAAUAAUUGACACAGGGCUUCAUUCCUCCUGGACUUGUAGACUACUCUGCCUCCAUGGACGAGGACAGGGACUUUCUGGUGAAUCGGGUUGAGCCGCAGAAGUAGAGCGCUCUUGUUGAGGAUGUUUUCCUCGAUGCAGUUGUAGGUUAUGCCCUUGAGCUUCAAUACAUACUCUACCCUCCGCACGAACGCAAGAAGGGGCUGACCCAGAGCCCCAAAAGCUCUACUUCCUGUGGAUUUGCCAUUCGAGCGUUUCAGGAGAAGACUGGUUUUUCUGUGAGCUACAAACUUGACAAACCACAGGCCCUUCCCGAAAAAAUCAUACAGCAUCCCAUACCCAAUCUAAUGCCUUCCAAAUCAUAAACUCUUACCCACGAACAUCAUCAGAGAUCUUAAGAAAAUCGUGCAUAAGCACUCACUGACAAACCACAACCAAAGAGGCUGACCACGGUCACGGUCCUCCAAUGCUCUCCGCACACCAGACUACCCUCGCCGACUCCGCCAGUCGCCGAAUUCACGAAGUUCCACCGCAGCAGCCGAGUCAAAACUCCCAUUCCAUCGCUCUGCUGCGCGGACCCGCUCGUCUUACUCAUCUUCACGGCCUUCAGCGGCUCCCUCCUCUUGACCACCCUCAUGUCGACACCCACAUUCUCAUCCUCUCCUCGGCAGCUCAACUCCACGGCCACGGUAUCCAGUGGCGCCGGCAUCACGACCAUCAGCUGCGAUUGCAACCUCAGCGCCACCUGAUCCUCGUCGUCGCCCGCCGUCCAGUCAAGCUCGAUCCUCCCGGGCCCCGCCUCCUGAUCCCGCGGCGACAUCGACCCCAGCGACGACCCCGACCCCGAUCCCGACGACGCCAUCGACGAGACCGACGCGCGCGUCGGAUCCUCGACGCCGGCGUGGCCCAGAUCCUCCCCGGCGCCGUACGCGAGCGCGAGGUGGAAGCUCUCGGACGUCUGGUUCCAUCCCACCCAAGACAUUCCCGAUCGGGGAUCUGCCAGCCUCGCGCGCCGCUCACCGCCCUCUCGGUCGAUCGAUCGCGGUAGUCGUCGUCGUCGGCGGCGGCGGCGGAUCGGAGGACGGCAGUCGAGCUCGCAGUCGUCAUGAGGGAGAGAGCGAUGGGGAAGGGUGCGGAGCAUGGGGGAGGGUGUGGAGAGAACGCCAGGGUUUUAGUUCUCAAAAUGGACAAAAUUGGUUUUUCAAUAAAAUUUUGAGGGUAAAAUAGGUAAUUUACUAACUUUCAUUAAAUGACCCUUCAGCAUUCUCAAUGGUUGGCUUUCACCCGAAAGCCCUUUGAGAAUAAUUGCCAAACACCCCAAAUUUUCUCCAAUGGGCUUUGAGGCUCCAAGGGGCUUUCUAAAUGUCGAACCAAACGCACCCAUACUCCCCCAACUAAUUUAACAGAAAGCAGCAUUUUGCAUAAGGUGCACAGAACCAUCCUAUGUAGGAGCUUCCAGACUUGACUUGCCUUUUCCAUCAAUAAAAUAAAUAGAAAAGAAAACUAGCAGUACUCUCAUGCUCCGGGUGCUAAUAUACAUGAGUCAAUCGUAAAACAUCGGUUGUUGGAAUAUUAUUUAUAAUGAACAAUCUGACCUUUUCAAGGGCUUCUACAAAAGCAAAUCCCAGAAUAAUUUUCCCUCACUUUUCAAACUAUUUUUUUCCAUACCAUAUCUUGCAUUGACCGAACAAAUUCGAAUCUGUUCAGGAAUUUCUUCAAACACGUAAUGGGCAGCGAGUUGGAGAGCGAAUAUGGACCUAUUCGGAGCUCGAGCUGAAACCUAAACUCAAGAGAAAUCAGCGAGCAACGUUCAAACUUAAGAAAAACCGACUCAUUCAGAUCCGACGCGAGUGAGGACUAAAGAAAUUGAGCUUGCUUUGCUCUUUUAAAAUCAAGCGGGACGAGGCAAAAAAGAAAAAAAAAAAAAAAAAGGAACGAGCACUCAAUCGCGGGGGCCCUACCUGGGUUGGCGGCCGCGGGCAUCGUCGGCGGCGAAGGUUGAGAAUAGCGACUCCAAACUCGUGUUAGGCUUCAGUCGACUCCACUGAGGUCAGGGACGGCGACGACGAAUGGCAGCGGGCAGACGAUGCUCUGGAGGUGGCGGACGACGUAGAUCGGCUGUGGCUCUGAGGUUUUGUGUGGGGCUUCAAUGGCGACCAUUCACGUAGUAGAGAAAGACCAAGAUGCUUUUUUUUUUUUUUUUCCUUCUUUUCGUGAGAGUAAAGAAGUGGCUGACAGUGAAGGAGUGCGGUAGGACUCCGGGAAUGGAAUGCGAGAGCAGUCGCCGGUAGGAGGUAGUCGGACGGAGAUGGUGGAGGUAGCUGGUAAGGUGAGUUCUGGAAAAAGGGCGGGGAAUGCCCUUUUUCCCUUUCUAGAAAAAUCUCCCUGAAGAUGGUGGUCUCCCCUCCCUUUCCGUGAACGCCCCGCCUUUUUUCCCCCCUUUUAUUAUGGGAAAUUGUCUCUUUUAAGAGAGAGCGCGAGAGAUCCCUAGAAAGAGCUGUCCUUUCAGAUUCGAAGAGGCGGCUAUUAGAGGAGAUGAAAGUUGAUGUGCUUCCGCAGAAUGCCUACUGUCUUGGGUUGCGGCUUUAUCUCUUAUGUGUAUAUCGCUUCGUCCUUCUUGACCGUGACUUUCUCGGAUCACGUGCAGUGAUAAUCAAAGAAAGUCAUAAAAAGGAAAACUAAAGGAUAAUCUAUUGCACGCGUGCAUAAAAUUUAUGCCGCAUCCCUAUUUUUUAUUUUAUUUUUCUUUCUUGUUUUGACUUGCUUUCUUUACUAAUAAAAAAAUAGAAACGAAAACCAACCACAAUUCCAAUACUCUGAAUCGGUAAGCAUAUUCUCCGCCGAACUAAUUUAAUAAAAGGUAAAUAGUGAUAGAAAAGAAAACAAAAGGACAAUCAAUGCACGCGUAAUUAAGGUGCGUGGAACCUGCUUCUUAAGUUGACUGGCCUUUUUCAUUAAUAAAAUAAAUAGAAAAGAAAACUAGCUAUACUCCCAAGCCCCCAGUGCCAUACAUGAGUUAAUUGCAAAAGCAUUGCUUGUUGGAUUAUUAUUAUUUAUAGUGAACGAUUUGACCUCUUUUUUUCCAUCAUAUGGGAUUCUAGACAAGUAAACCCCAAAUCACUUUGACCUCACUCCUUAAUUAUUAUUAUUUUUUCGACAUUUUGCAUUUAUUUUAUACUUUUAAUGUCACAUUUAGAAUUUCUUAGGUAAAGGGUUAUCCACGGUCAAAUAACUAUUUAGGGAAUACUUUUUUUUUCCUUUUUUUUUCAUUUUUGUCAAACCUUUUAUUCCACAUUAACACUCUAUUUUCUUAACUUCUUAGUAAAGAUUAUCACUUAUUCAUCUGAAGGUGUUUGUCAUUAGUAAUCGGAUAUUAUGAAGGGGNNNNNNNNNNNNNNNNNNNNNNNNNNNNNNNNNNNNNNNNNNNNNNNNNNNNNNNNNNNNNNNNNNNNNNNNNNNNNNNNNNNNNNNNNNNNNNNNNNNNUGAGAGAGAGAGAUGUGUGGGCGUGAGAGAUGUUGCCCGAGGGGGGAGGAAAAUUAAAAGAAAAUAUCCUAUGACCCAAAAUUCUUGAUCCCAUUUGCUGUUGUUUAAUUUGAAUUGGUCCCCAAAAAUCCCCAUACUAAAAUACUUGAUCCUUAUUUGCUUUCUCGUACCAAAUUUCCCUUAAACGACAAGUCUUGGGUAACAAAAACGGCAAUUUCCUUUGAUUCCAAAUUUUAUUUCAUUUUUCUCGAAAUCCGAUUUUCUGAGCAAACAUCUCCGAUUGAGGUCUAAUUUGUUGAGAACAAAGCCCAUAAAAAUUCCCUUUUCACUAAUUCACUUACACCAAAUGCCAAAAAUUCCUUAAAAUUGGUUAAUCUGAAUUUCUGUUCAUUUUUCGAAUUGUCUAGAUCGAUUUUCGGUAAAAAUCUUGAACUCUCUCAAAAUUCCUCGAAAGAUGAGUCGACGUUCCUAAUAUGACCUGUGACAUAACAUAACUUUCAAUUUCUGAAAUCGAGUUUAAAUUCGCAGUAAAUUUCAAUUCGGCGCAAUUUUAGCGUGACCUAGGCUACCGGGUAGCUUUCAAAAUUUUUUAAUGCAAAUGACUCGUAAUCGAUUUUCUUCGAACCACAAUGAACCCAUUCAACACAUUGACGACUCUCGGUUGUCGUAAAAAUAUCGAGGUUUCGAUUACAAACACAUGGUACCAAAACGAUAAAAAAAUCAAGUUAGUAUCGAUCGACGAGAAUUUUACAAUUUAGUGGAAUCACCUACGUUUAACCACAUAUCUCAGUCAAAUCGACAUAUAUCUUAUUUCUAAUUGAUCUUUACUGUGUCAUAAUGAUCUCAACAGAUGAGUACAGUCGAGUAGCCGAUUUCUCGUCAAAUUCUCAAGUCUAUUGCUUUAAAAUUUCGUAAUGGCUUUCCUAGAUAGUCUAGUUAUCUCAAGAGUGAUCAGCUUUGAAACAGCUAUAUAGGCGCAUCGAUGAAAUACCAGAUUAAUUUAAUUGAAAGUAUAAGUGAAAAAUCCAAAAUGUCACAAUAUAUUUAAGGUCUAUCUUGUGAUUAUGUUCAACCAUUUUGUAUAAUGAAUUGAGAAGAACUUCAAUAAUAAAUACAUGAUGCGCAAAUCUCUGGUCCAUUGAUUUUGCAAAUUGGCUCUGCCAAUUCAUUUUAAUUAGAGUAAAGAAGGGCUAGUAUUAGAUCAAGGAUAGUUUAGUUGGAAUAUAGAUAGUGUAAGAGGAUGAUCAUCGAAGAGUGUCAAUUAAAUUUAGAAUCACCACAAAAAAGAGGUUUUUCAGCGCAAGGGACAAGGUCAUGAUGUUAUACGACGCGCUAGGGAUGUAUGGUGUGGCAAGCAAAUCAAUUUCUAAAUUUUAGCGUCAACUAAGACGAUAAAUAUUUCAUACGACCAAUUUGAUUGGCUGGUCACAUCAUGUCAGUUGUUGGCGAUCUAACUAUUGAAUGAAAUAUUUUUCUCAAACAAGGGGAUAGUCCCUUGAAAAGUUUUCGAAUGCUAGAACUCCCAAGCUUGCGAGAACUUUGAGAAAAACCUACUCCCUUUGAAGAAAUGCUACUCAUUGUCACCCAAAAUCGCAAGGACUUUCUAGUAGGUACUACUGUUGAUAUGCACUUUAUAGUUACUAAUUUCCAUACCGUCACUUAAGAGUUCGAUGAAAGAUUUUACUAUGCUAUUGGAUAAUUCCUAAAUGACAGGAUCAUCAAGAUAUAAACUCUACAAUAAAACUACUAACCUUAAAAGAAAGUUAUUAACUAUAAGUUACUAUCUACAGAUAUAGUGAUGAUCAUGAGGACUUCUCAGGACUUACGACCGUUGGAAAAAUAAUUACGAUGUACAAAUACUAUCAUUUACAAAUAAAGAGGAUAAUUACUGUAUCAAUGGAGAAUUAAAAAAUGAUGACACCCACGGAUUAAGAAUAACGAAAGGGAUGUUCGUGAUGGAAAGUUAAUAAUCGUAGGUGCAGUAUAACUUUCGAGGAUUUCAAGUGAUUUACACUUGUUUUGGAAUAUUUACUGAGAAAUUUCGUCAUUUAUUAUAACUAUUUGAUGAAAUUUACUAUAUUAACUUUAAGUUUACUAACGACUAAGAUUAACACACGGGUAUAACAAAGAUUAUUUUUGGCAAUAAGCAAAGAUUGACAUACGGCUACAACUGGAUUAUGUAUAGAAACACAUAAGCAAUGCUGCAAACCUUUUCUACUUCUUGUGUACUUAUCUUUAUCAUUAUAGAUAAGUACACAAGAAGUCGUAAAACUUAUUACAAAAGUACAAUCAAAUCUCAAAACUUUUAAAAAGUACGAUCGAAUUUUAAAACUUAUUCAAUCAGUGCAAUUAAAUACUUUUGUUAGCACAAUCUAGUAUGAGUAAUGAAAAAUGCCGGCAUGUAUAUAUUAAUAUAAUUUGACUGCGCAUGCUGGAGAUACUUGAGCCGAACGUGAUGCCCCACUCUAAUGAAUUGAAGUGCCUCGUGUGCCAAGUCACCUUCUCUCCAUUUUCAGAUAUAUUGAAUCUGACAUGAGAGAUUGAAACCAAACACUAUCUCUUACUUCAACAACAUCAUGAAUGUCCUGGGGUAGUAGGAAACGUACGCCAACCCCUAAUUUGUUUCGCCGGCUUAACGAUUGCUUCCUCAAGACCCAUUUAACUUGUUUCGCUGUCAUUGGCUUUCACUUCCUCCAUUAAGCACGGAGAAAUUUCCUCAAGAAAUCUCUCGUCCCCAUUUCAUAAAUUGAAGCUGCAUCCACUGAUUGAUGGUCUCUAAGCACAACUUUCAAAUCAUCAUCCAUUCGCUUGCAUCUUAGCACAUAUCCCACCUUUUCCACGUUUCCACCCGACACUCUGAGUGUAAGGCUAAAUUGUAAGUAAUCCUUGUCAAAUUCAAGAAAAUCAAUUGCUCCCUCCAACACUCCCCACAGCACAUUUGGUUCAAGAUAUUGAAUCCACAUUUGAUAUGAAUCAAAUGAACCAAGAGAUCCUGAUAGCACAUUUCGUUUUUGGCUGUUAACAUGGGGCACGAUGUCGAAAAAUAUUUCCUUUUCUCCAUCUUCUACAUUGAAAACAACACAGAGAGCUAAUCCUUGGAACUUAUUAUAAAAGUCCUGUGAAACCAAGAAAGUUAUGGUACCACCUUCAACAAGGAUGAACUCCUCUGGCAUUACUCUUUUAGGGAGAACAACUCUGUAGGGAAAAAAUAUGGAGUAGCGAUACUUCUGUUAUAAGGGUAAAUUGUCAGAGGUACCCAAGUUGGUAAUUAGCUGAAAUUGAAGAGUUUAUUUUGAGAAUCUUUCUUGUAAUUCAACCAAAGCUAGAGUUUUAUAAUAAUUGAACAUAUUGAUCCUUCACUUGCGAGUGUUGUAGCCACCCCUAUAAAAUGUAAGUGCAGAAUCGCUUUAUGUUAGAUUUGCUUGUUUGUAUAGAAUUUUCAGUUCUUGCUUUAUACAAACGGAGUGCGCCCGACAUACGCUCCAACAAAUCAACACGUGCACUUAGGAAUGCGCGCGCACCCAGAGAGAGAGAGACAGAGACAGAGACAGAGACAGAGACAGAGACCUCAACUGAGAAGCCAGGCCUGAUCCUCUCGUCUUCGUCUUCUGAAAUAUCGUAUUCUGAAAUAUCGCAAUCUGAAAUAUCGUCUUCUGAAAUAUCGCAAUCUGAAAUAUCGUCUUCUGAAAUAUCGUAGUCUUCUGAAAUAUGGUCGUCUUCUUUAGUUAUACGGUCUUCCACUGACUUGUUAUCUUCAUGGGCUCGCCACCGCUAUAACAUAUAGGUGCAAAAUCACAAUAUAUUAGCUCGUUUUGUUUACUAGCAUUUACGGCUUUUGCAUUAUACAAAAACAAUGCACCCAUAUCAAUCAAACACACACACCCCACAAUCGCGGGGAAGGAGAGAAGGGGUGGGGGGGGUGGGGAGGACCUGAAAUGAGAGAUCGGCCGAACUUUCUUCCUCUCUGGUUGUUUCUUUAUACCCAUGCCGAAUCUCAUAGAUCAAACUCGGAUUUGGCAACUCGUUGUCUUGAUACAAGGACUUCAAAUCGUCCUCUAGUGGCUUGCAUAUUAAUCGAAAUCCACACUUUUUUAUAAUUGUAUCACCCGAUGCUCUAACACCAAAUUGGAAGGAACUUAAGUCAAUUGGACCAAAAUCGUCUACUGGCCAUAGCUCCUCUCUUCCAUAAGAAAAAAGCCACACAUGAUACGAAGUCGAUUGAAUUGAUUCGUCUGUAUAUCGAGAUUGAUGGGUACCAUUAAUGUACGAAUUGAUUUUCACUUUUAAAAUUCGUUGCCCUUCCUUUACUCGAAUUACAAGGCAUAAAACGAAUGUCAAGAACUUAUCAUACAAAUCCUUUGAAGCCAUGAAAGAUAUAUAACCCUCUUUAUUCGGGAGCAACCAUCGCGGCAUCUCUCCUCCAGGUGAGAUAAAUGUUGCCAUUUGUUUCAAAACAAGAUUACUGUCAUAGAUGUAAAUCAUUAGGACAGUAUUUUGAAUUUAGCACUUGAAAAAGAGGAGUUCCAAUGAGUUAAGUGGGUUGGCAAGUUUAGCUAUAGUUAGCAAUACAUGUACAUGUCUCCGUAUUAAUAAGAGAGAGAGAGAGAGAGAGAGAGAGAGAGAGAGAGAGAGAGAGAGAGAGAGAGAGAGAGAGAGAGAGAGAGAGAGAGAGAGAGAGAGAGAGAGAGAGAGAGUCUGACCUUAUUAUGGACCAGAUUAGGAGAUAAUAAGUAAAUGUUGGAGGGAAUUUUACUUAGAGAUUCACAACUCGUUGCCCACAAUUCCUGCAAUUUUUCUGGAAUCUUGCCAAUCUCUUGUAGCUGAUGGCAUUCCUCAACACUCAAAUGUUGUAAAUUAUAGAGGUGCUCACAUGUGGGAAGCUUAGCAAAAUUGUUUUUGGACAAACACAAUUGUCUUAAGUACGGAAAACAUGAAUGAUUCUCUAAGAACUCUACGUCAUGUAGAUUGCAUCCCCCAAGCAUUAAGAUCAGCAGCUUAGGAAAUCCCAUCUUGCUAUGUAGAUCAGUCAAAUCCUCUUCCUUUUUUGGAAACUUGAUUAGUUUUGAACAACCAUCAAGUAUCAAGCUCUCAAGAUUUGGCAACUUAUAAAUGCUAGAUGGGAGGUUUGCCAGUUUCUUGCAAUUAAUUAAACUCAAAUUCUCCAAAGAGACAAGAUUUUCUAUGGAUGCAGGAAGUUCAUCAAUCGAAGUCCCUCUUAAAUAAAGUUCUUUCAAGCCUUUGAUUUUAUUUGGAAUAUUAGGAAAUCUUUGCAACUUUGAGCAAUCGGUAAGAUUGAGAAUUUGAAGAUUCUUGGAUUGGAGCACAUCCGGGAGAUGAUGAAGGUUAGAGCACCCUUUUAGAUUCAACAACCGUAACCUGGUGUGAUGUGCAACUGAUUCAUGAGCACACUCCAAAUUUUUGCACCCACGGAGAUAUAGUUCCUCAAGAUUUGGAGUCAAAUUGAGGUCUGGCAUACAAACCAUCGACGGACAUUCACUAAAAUUGAGGAACUUCAAAUUUUUAAAGUCCUGCAAGAAACAUCCAGACGAAAAAAAAAAGUGAAGAUAAAAAUAUUUAAUGAAAAACACUUUAUCAUCAUUCAAGCCCCGUGUGAUCAGAUAUUAGUUGAUCAUAUGAUGUAUAUAGAGCACUCUCUCUCCCUUGGCCAAAAGAGAAGAUCAAAAAAGAAAACACUAGUCAUUCCACCUGAGGUCUAUCAAGCGACAUACAAGAGAAAUCAUUCCAAUGCCAAGUGGCGUGGCCACUUCUACUAUCUAUAUGUUCAGAAACAAUACAUGUAAUUCAUGGCAUGAAUUUAAGCUAACAUAGGUGGCACUUGUGAAUAGAAUAAUAGGGAUAGAAUAUAUUUUCUUGAUCCGUGAGUCGGUUUAUACUUUUUAGGAUUGCUUUAGUCUCAACUACAAUAAUAGGGAUAGAAUAUAUUUUCCAGAAAAAUGCUGCCUGAAGAUGGUGAUCUCCUCUUCCUCCCUUUCCGAGAACGCCCUGCCUUUGUUUUUUUUUUUUUUGCUUUUUUUAUGGGAAAUUGUGUCUCUAGAGAGCUUGAGAGAUCCCUAGAAAGAACUUCCCGUCAGAUUCGAAGAGGCGGCGAUUAGAGGAGAUGAAAGUUGAUGUGCUCCCGCAGGAUGCUUACUGUUUAAUCGGGUUGCAGCUUUACCUAUUACGUGUAUAUCGCUUCGUUCUUGAAAAUGACUUUCUCGAAUCACGCGGCAGCGACAAUCAAAGAAAGCCAUAAAAAGGAAAACCGAAGUUAUUGCACGCGUAAUUUCCGCAUCCUUAUUUUAUUUAUUUAUUUUCCUUUCUUGUAUUAACUUGCUUUCUCUACUAAUAAAAAAACAGAAACGAAAACCAAUCACGAUUCUGAUACUCUGAGUCAGUAAGCAUAUUCUCCACCGAACUAAAUUAAUAAAAAGCAGAUAGCGAUAUAAAAGAAAACAAAAGGACAAUCAAUGCACGCGUAAUCUCCACAGCAUUUUGUGGAAGGUGCGUAGAACCUGCUUUUUAAUUUUGCUGACCGUUUCCAUUAAUAAAAGAAAUAGAAAAGAAAACUAGCAAUACCCCCACACCCCUGGUGCUAAUAUACAUGAGUCAAUAGCAAAAACAUCGCCAGUUGGAUUAUUAUUAUUUUGAUAUCCAAAGAACUCCGUACAGCCGGUAGCCGGCGAGUAAACCUAGGGUGACGCUAGCGGAUGACCUACUACCUCAAUGUCACACUUAAAACACCAAAUACCUCCACUGGGUUGGGAAAGGAUCAAUGGGGUUCUUGAGCCUGUUUGGUUCGACUUUUGGGGAAUGCAUUUGCCAAAAUGCAAAUACCUUUGGGUGAAUGGGGUUUUCCAAAAUGCAAAUAUUGUUUGGUAAAAUUUACAUUGAGAUACAAAUUUGGCCAAAAUAUUGUUUGGUAAAAUUUGCAUUUGUAAAUGACUUUUAUUAAAUUAAAAAAACAAAAAAAAAAUAUUUUUUCUUUUUUGAAGUCCGGUCGUCGGAUGGCCAGAUCUGGCAGCCUAAGGUUGCGUCGGUCGCCCGACCCCGGCGACCGUCGCCUGAGGUCGCGCGAUCUCAGGUGGCUGCUUGGGUCGCGCGAUUCAGGCAACGACUGGGUCGCGCGACCCAGGCGUCACCAGCGAUGGUCGCCGGCACACGCGACUCCUUGGCCGGCAGUCGGCAGCCUCCGAUCGACUUCUCCAUCGGAGAGAUGAACAGUGAUGAAUAGUACCAAAGUUGCAUUCCGAAAAUGCAACUUCCCAAUGGAUCUCUACCCCUCCAUUCCCCCCAAAGGCCUUUGAAGCCCCUUGAAGAUACAAUUGCAUCUUCCCAAAGUCCUCAAAAAAUUGAACCAAACACCACAGCAUUUUGCCAAACACCUUUAAAGCCCCAAAGAGCAUUCCAAAUGCUGAACCAAAUAGGGCCCUUAUCCAGCGGAGCCACCACAGCCAGUGGUCCGGUUGGAUUAUUUAUAAUGAACGAUUUGACUCUUUUUUUUCUGUUAGAAGGGAUUCUAGACAAGCAAAUUCCAAAAUAAAUUUUCCUUACUUUUCAAACUAAAUUUCUUUAUACCUAUCUUGCCUAAAGAUUAUCAAGUCAUCCCACUUUAGCCAACUCACUUUGAUCUCACUCCUUAAUUAUUUUUGUUUUUGACAUUUUAUAUUUAUUUUAUACUUUUAAUGUCAGAUUUAGAAUUUCUCAGCUAAUGGAUUAUCUGUGAUCGCAUAACUAUCUAGGGAAUGCUUUUUUUCCUUUUUAUUUCAUUUUUGUCAAACCUUUUAUUUUAUGUUAACACUCUGUUUUCUUAACUUCUUAGUAAAGAUCAUCACUUGUUCAUUUGAAAGUGUUCGUCAUUAGCAAUCGGAUAUUAUGAACCGACUAUAAUUAUAUCGGCUUUAUCUUCCGAUAAAUACUGGAGCUUUAUGACUUUGAAUAGCAAUGACAUAUAGAGGAUUCAUGGAAUUGAAACUUCUGCUUCAAUGUCCUAGUGAUAUUAUUUAGUGUAUGUAUAGCUGCCUUUUGACGACGUUCUCAUGUAGGAGCUUUUGGACACUUUUUGCCAAUAAAAGGAUUGCGAGAGGUUGAGAUAUUUAUUUUGCAUGCAUUAUAGUUUGACUGGUGGAUGAUUUUGAGAGAACUUGCAAACUAGGAGUGAUUUUGAGUGUUUUUAUUUCUCCACUCAUAUCAAAUGAGAAAUAUUGAGUCAUUUGAUAUAAAGUUUGUGCGUUCUCUCUUGGGUUGAACCACUGAAUUCAUCUAGUACUAUUAUAUAUUUUGAUGCUCUAUAGAGGGCCUUAUGAAGAGUUGACAUGUGGCUCAUUUAAUGGUUGCCACCUCGCUUUCAUUUUCUUUAAUUUAUUCAUAAUUUUUUUCUCUUCAUUUCCAAGAGAAGGUGAUAAGUGUACCUAGCCAUUAACUCAGCGUAUAGUAUAAUAGACUUUCUUUUUUUCUCAAAGACUCGUUUGCCUUUAGGGGAAGCUCAACUUUAUCAUUUGCAAUGUCUUCUCUGCAGAUUUCUUUUUCCAAAGCCAUGCUUUAUGAUCCAUCACUUCACAAAAAUGUAUAUCUGAAAGCACAUCCAACAAGACAUGAAUAAAGGCAAGUGCAAAAAGAAGAACAAAUUUUUCGUAGAAGAACAAAUUUUGCGUGAAGUCAGAAGCUACAAUCAGUCAAUUCUAAUCCAGAAAAUACAGCUGAAUGAGGCAUAAAGUCUCUAGCUUGUUGUGUGCAACCAUCAACAAUUCACAGCUUCACGAGAAAGUAUAUCACGGAUCUGUCAAACGAAAUUCUUAAAGUGACCACAAAGAAUUAUGUGUCGUAAACAAUGCAUUCCCUAAAAGGAAGACAGAGAAAAGGCAUGGAUGAAUUGCUAAAUACUAAAAUCACUUCAGAUAAAGUUCAGAACAAUAGGUAAAAAAAAAAGGGCUUUUGCAUCUGUGCACUACAGAUUCUUAUGCAUCAGCUCAUCCUCGAUUGAACAUUACAGGGCCUUUUUAAUAUGUAAAAUACCGUUGUUAUCAAUUGUCAUCAAAUGUUAAUUUCAGCGUCUGUCUGCACAUAGGAAUUAAUUAUACAGUAUCGCAUUGGGACACCAUAAUGUCCCACUCUCGACCAUGUACAUCCGAAGCAAGGGUUGUGAUAGUAAAUUGGUAAAAAAAGCAUCCGAAUGGAACUUUGUACUUCAUCAAAGGGGAAAAAAAACUACUUAAAUUGGAAACGGAACCCCGACUGAUUACAGCAGAACCUCCUUCCCCAUCAUAGAAUUCACGUCGGGUACCAAGCCAGAGCAUCUCGAGUUUUCAUAAUCGCGGAACUCCUUGACUCAACAGCAAAGACAUUCCAGCCUAAAAGCUUACCUUGCUAUUGAGGAAGCUAACAAUCGAUGCGGGAUAGAUUAAUGCUCCCUCUCACAUGCAAAAACAAAACGGACGGGAGAUAGAACAGGGAACAGAAAUGCGGAAUAAGAUGAGGGAGAACCACAUGUAGAAUUUAACAUUAAGUUGAGCAUGAAGCAGCUGAAAUUUGAAGCCAUACUACACGCACAUUACGUGUAUCAGUCAGGCCAGGAUGAACCGAUUUGCAGCAAUAAAAGUUCCUGAAUCAGGCACACCGCUGAAUUUUAACACCACUCUCCGGCCAAACCGUACGAAUCAAACAUCGAGAAGCAGAACCGAACGAGGGACGAGUUCCAGCGGAGCUCCAACUUCAACAGAAUAAUCCGAGCGCCGCGACUAACAAGGUUGACUUUAGACAGCGCCGUAACGGUCGCAUGCAACGACAAACUCAAUCCUAAACGCGUCUUCCAAAACCAAAAAAAGAAAAAGAAAAAGAAAAAAACACAGACAUCGAUCAUCGUCCCGACCGCACCGCGUCGCGAAGCACGGCCUCUGGGAAGCCAAUGCGAGUCCUCUCGCCACACUCCAAACACUACACAUGACACCGGAGACCGUGCGAGGUCAACGCGAGCAUCUAGAGAGGGAGCUGCGGGAACUUACGGGAUCGAUCAGGCGGCGGCGGCGGCGGCGGCGGCGGCGGCGGUAGGAGGAGCGGGAAGCAUGGAGCUUGGGGGAAGCGAGGAGGAGAGGAAGAAGAAGAGAUCGCGAUCCGGAGAAGGAGGAGAAGCCCGGUUCCGAAUUUAAUAACGCGUCGCCAUAGGGAGCGGAUGGCACGGUCUCACCGACAAUCGCCGCAUUCCGGGGACCACCGACGGUCCCGACCAGGUCACGGUUCGAGCUUUUAGGGUAGAACGGUCCACUUACGGACGGACCAGGCGACGGUGGCCUGUCCGCGCUCGGAUCAGUUGGCCGGAUACAAUGUGGGGUCCGCAUGUGAAUUUUUCUACGCUUACGAGAAAGUGUCGCGAUUUGCCUCUGGUCCAUAGACACGUGUCUGCUUAGAAGAGUUUCUGGACUUCGAAAGGGUUAUGAUUAUAAUUGAUAUCGACGCUACAUAUUUACCUAUAAUAAUUUUUUAAUAACUAAAAAUUCAAAUCUGAUAUAUAUGAUAAAUUUAUCUUUAAUUAAUUUAUAUUAUAUUAAAUUUAAUAUAAUAUAAAUCUCAAAUUGGUAUAAGACUUUGCAAUAUGAUAGAAAAAUCAAAUAUAUCAUAAUUUUAAGUAUACAAAUUUGAAAUCUUUGAUGACCAAAAACUUAAUUUAAAAUAAAUUUAUUACAAAUUAAUCACUUUGUGGUUUUUUUUGUAGUAUUAACUGUUAUGGUCAAUGGGCAAUUUGUCUUCAACGACAACAAAAUAUGAUUAUAGCAUUGAAAAAAACGGCGCGUGGGAUUAACGCUUGCGCACGAGCGUGCGGGGUGGUCGUUGCGCUGAAGUGGAGUAGUCAAUGGAAACUUUGUUAAUGGGGCUUCUUGUGUUGUUGGUUGGUUGACUCUCUCUCUUUCUCGAUCGCUAUCGUUCGCUUUCGCUUUGAUCCAACGGACCGGAAGAGCGCGGGUGCUUGUCGACGGACGGACCAUGACCGCUCACGGGAGAAAAGGACGGCGACGUUUCGGGGUAGUGUCUGCGCUUGACUGUUGAUGAAAUUAAACUAUCAUUUUGAUACGAAAAUACGAGAUUUAAGCAGUGGGGCAAAAAAAAAAAAAAAAUUUCCAACAGAUGAAUAACGUGCACGUUCGAUGGUUAGUUACCUUAUAGUCAACUUAUAUUUAUCUAACAACAAAUAUAUGAAAUUGCGCCUUGUAGUAGUGAAAAGAAUAGAAGGUCUUCGGAAUAUUUUGGCCAUACUCACGAAGGAAAAGACCUUAUGAAAUUGACGAAUUCAAAAUGCGAAUUGCACUCUCAUGGACGGGCAAAGCGAUUUGUUGAAAGAGUAGAUGGCAAUAUAUUUGUAAAGUUUAAUUUAAUCGAACUAUGCUAAUUAAUCUUACAAGACUCCAAGUAGACAUUGAACGGAACCGAUGAUUGACAUGACAAUAUAUUUCCUGACAGCUAGAUACAAAUGGAAAAUGAUACGCUGCGAAUCAAUGAUCUACACGUGCUUUCGAUUAUAUGAUGUUUGUAGUCAUUGCAUUUAGGUGGCAUUUUGUGAAGAAUUAAGUUUUAAUCGGCGGGAAACAAAUUAGCAAUAAUCAAAUUUUUGUUGAAUGAUGCUGACCGAUGUCGUAAUGAAAAGAGAAUUUCUCAUGAAUCAUAUGUACAAGUAGAUUCAUUUAGAUGGAUAGAGGGGGAAGGAAAAAAUACAAAUAUGUAUAAUGAAGUGUAAAUUCGUUAGUAACUAGUAAUGUGUCACAUUGAUUAAAGGGAGCACUAUGAACUAUAGUUAGUAUAGGGUCCAUCACAAUUUAAGUGCAAUCAAUUGUAGGAUUAGAUUGACCUAUCUAAGUGAAGUCUAAGUCCAUUUAUUUAAGAUAGGAUAAAGAUAAGAUAUCCUAGGAAUCACAAAUUCAAUUACUAGGGCCGUGAAUGCUCAACCGAGAACACCCCUUUUUGUUCCUCAUAUAUUAAAUUUCAUCUAACAGAAUUACUAUAUUAAAUAACUUAUUGACAUAUAAAUACUUAAGUAAAUUAUAUAGAAAAUUUAUCAAAUAACUUAAUAUAUUAACAUAAUAGGUACUUGAGGAUCUUGUUAAUGAGUGCUCAUUUAUUAACAAUACUUUAUUUGGAAUAAUGCAAUUUCCAAGCAUUAAAUGUGCAUAAGACGUGAACUACCAGUGUAUUCAAAAUUGCAAAAUUCCCUUAAUUGGUUGCAAGGCACUUGUUAACAAAUCAUCUUUGAAAAGGUACCUUCAAACUCGUUAGCAUGAGCUGAUGAAUAAUUACUAAAAAUAAUAAUAGCUCCAAUUCCACCUCUUUUUUUCUUUGACACUUUAACUAAACGAGGGACGCUCACUACUCAUGUUUCUUCUUGUAUUUCACCCACUCAUCCUAUCAUUGAGUCCAGCUCAAAAAUUUUCAAUUAGUGACGCCACUUUUAUCAUAAUUAAAUAAAAAGCACACAUUGAAUUAUUUCUCGCGGCCGUCGCCGAGGUCGCGCGACCCCGGCGACCCCAGGCGGCGGUCGCCUGAGGUCGCGCGACCCCAGGCGACCAGAUCCGGCCGCCGGAUCCGGCGGUCCGGCCGUCGGAUCCGGCCAUCCGGCCGCCGGAUCCGGCGGUCCGGCCAUCGGAUCCGGCGGUCUGGUGGCCGGAUUUCCAAAAAGAAAAUAGAAUUUUUUUUUUUGUUUUUUUAAUUUAAUAAAAGUCAUUUACAAAUGCAAAUUUUACCAAACGGUAUUUUGGCCAAAGUUGCAUUUCAAAGUAAAUUUUACCAAACGAUAUUUGCAUUUCGGAAAACCCCAUUCACCCAAAGGUAUUUGCAUUUUGGCAAAUGCAUUCCCCAAAAGCCGAACCAAACGGGCCCUAUAUAUUUAUUUGCUGAUGUUCGUUCAUGCAUCGUUAUCCUCUUAUUCAGCCAUCUGAAGAUACUUUCUGCCAAACCGCAAUUGAGAAGAGAUUUGGUUCUCACGGCUUGUGCAGAUCCACAAAACCACAUCUGCAAAGUUUCAUAUGUUUCGUGACACUCCGACAAUUCUCAAGGCGUUUAAGGGUUAAAAAAGAAGCGCUGAUUUAUAGGAAAUACCCACCUCAAUAGACAUUUAUUCAUCACUACAAAACUGGGAGAAGUGAAUAUACAACCCAUGGCAGCUUAGCUUACACUAGAACAAAUGACGAGCCGUUUUCUCAAGAACCGUGUGAACUUCCACGUGUUAACUAUAGGAGCUUGCGCUGUGUACACAAGCAGUGCAAACAAACCCAGUGGCUCUCUGCGAAAGCGUUCUUAUUUACUCCUCUGUUAGUCAUGAGAAAGAGGAAAGCAACUUUCCGUUGGACUUGCAUGGUUUUCAAUGGUCGAAUGGAAGAGAUGGUUUCUUGCUGUUAACUCUCUUCUUUCUCCACAGAAGCUUCCUCCACAGACUUCCAAUUCCCCGUUUUUUCACUGGCGUGAUGGCGAAAGAACCAACUGCUUCGUGGUCGUCUGUCAUUUUAGUUCCAUUCGAACUGAGAAGCUUUUCUGAAGGCUCCUUCAAUCCACCCGGUAGGAUAGAACAAUAGUUGUUCUCUCCUUUCAUGUCAGAGGAUUCUAGGUUCGUAACAUCGGCAUUAUCCUCUGCAAGCAUUUUGUCCAACAGAGAAGUUCGACGGGCCAUACUCUUGUUCUUGGGUGACUCUUGAAUAAUUGUCAUGGUGCCAUUGGUGGCAACGCUGGAGUUUGCAUCUGUUGGAGUAGGGAUGAUCUUAUCAAAAAGAGCAGCAUCUUUUGCUGGAGCCAAAGCUUUCAACUGCUUGCCCAAGUUCAAAAUGGUUUCUUGGCACUCUGCUAAUCUUUCAGAAGCAGCUGCGAUCUCCCAGUUCUGCCACAAAUACUCUUGCAUCAGUUAACAAAGGAUCUGAGUUUCUUGUCCCAAAGAAAAUGUUCCUCGCCUCAAUUACUCUGAACUAACAGCUUUUAAAAGAAUACAAGAUCAUUUAAUGCUGCUCCAGAAUAAAGGGCCCCUAACUCUAUGACAAUUCAUGUUCAUAUCUAGAUCACAGGUUCGACUCCCUCUGGAUAACAUUCUACACUUUUAUUACUUAGGAACGAAGUUCCAGACCAUGAGAAUAGACAUUGAAAAGUGAAGUCUAUUCUCAACAACAUUUUGCAAAAGAGGGAAUGUAAUGAGCCUUCUUAAUGCCAUUUUUAUUCCAAAUCACUUCAUUAAUGUGCAAUGUAAUGAUUCAAAGAUUGCGUGAUUAAAAGGAAAAAGAAGAAAAAAUGUGUAUCCCUGAAAAAAUGCAUGGGACGAUUAGGUAAUGAUGGUGUACUUCUUAUGAGACAGGAUGAAGAGAAACUAUCCAGCCAUCGAAAAGUUCCUCUUAAGCGACUGCUUCACAUCCAGACAAAAGGAUUCGGCAAUGGUAUCUACUUUCAGGAUUUGAGAAAGCAAACAUUGACGGUGACUUACAGUUCGUAGCUGCUUUCCUUCCUGAAUGACAUCAUUUUUCAGACUCUCAUCCUUCUUCAUACUGGAAAUGACAUGGACAAGUCCGUGAGAUUCAGAAAUACAAGUAAUUAGGAAUGUCCAUUACAUACUAUAUUCAAGCAAGGAUAUGAUCAUCGGGGCAAGAAAUCAUAAUUACCUUUCCAGCUGCAAUUGCAAGUCAAGACAUGUGGCCUCCAGUUCAUCACAGCAGCUGCUUUUGUUCUCCAGUUCCACUUCUAGUGGAGAGAACUGCUGAUGAGCCUCAUUUACUUCAACUUUGGCCAUGGCAAGCUGUCUAUCGAGAUCUUCAUAACUCAACUUGUGAUUUACAAUCUGGUCCUCAACCAAACCCUUUGAUUCUUUUAAGCUGUUCCCUUCCAUAUGCACGCUCUCAAUAGUUUCUUUGGAUGCUUCAAGUUGAUUUAUCAAAGAUUUAUUUUCACCAAUAGCAGACUGAAGCUGACCUUCCAAUCCUUCCUUUGCAGAGUCUCUGUUUUCCAGGUUUUCCUCCAAUUUUGUUUCUUCUUCUUUCUGAUCAGAUUGGAGUUCUCCCAGCUGAGCCAUAUUGUUACCACCACUUGCAAAUUUACUAGAGAUACAAAGUUGUUUGAUGGGAUUAUGCAAUUUAUCGGCAUCAGAUAGCUGAUGUAUAAUUCCUGCUUCUACUUCACCUUCACUUCGUGAUUCAUCCCAAUCUAUAUUUUGCAUAAUCUCUUCCCUCAUGCUUGAAACAUCUUGAAGGGAAAAACAAUGGUUCAGAACCCAUUCCAAAGAUGAAGCUAAUUCUUUAAAAAAAUUAGAGAGAUCAGCUUUUUCAUUCAAAAGAUCAUAACAUGUGCGGAGAAAGUGCUCUAAGACAUCAGCAAGUUCAGAAGUUUUCCAUUGAAAAACACGAACCAUGUAGCCUGUGGGUGUUUCUGAACUCUUAUUAGAAGAAAUAUUCCUUUCUUUCUUCAAAGAAAUAUCUGGAUCCUCGUAGUUUUGAUGAGGAAGACUAAUACUCUCCAUAAGCUCAAUUAUUUUAGACAUUGACUUGCUCAAAUCUGGCUUUACCCUCUGAUUGCUCUUUUCCAUUGACAACAAAUCAGGGUGAACAAUUUUAUGAGAUAACCCCAACCUCGAAGAACUAAUAGGAGGCUUAGAUAAGUUAUUCUCAUUGCUACUUGCCCUUUCCUUUGUAUCUCCAAACUUUCUGGGGUUUUGACGGUGCACAUGUGCCAAAGCAAUUCUAACAUGCUCAAGUAUUUCAUCCAGGUGUCUUCCAGUGGAAUGAUGUUGCUCCAGAAUCACUUUCAAUAUCUUUUGAAGCCAUUCAGGGAUGUCAACGAGGAUUGUACCAUAGGCAUUGGCUUCCUGGUCUACCGGACAGAAGCCAGAUUUACCAUUUGUCUCUGGGGAGUGAGCAAGUGCACUAGCUUGCUGAGAAAGCGUGUCAUAAUUUUUUGAUGUAUCAUCUGCAGAGACGAUAGCUAACUUUUCCAUUUCGACAAAGUCGUCCAUUAAGCUGAUGUCAGAAGCUCCAAUUGUUUUGGAAGAUAAUGACCGCCUCUGUUUCUCAUUACGGAAAUUCUCCAACUCUGAAAUUAGAGCUGUUGCCCACGAUUCAGCACAACUUACUUUAUCAUCACUGCCAAUAUCAGAUACUGAUGCCAGAGAUGGUUCAUGUGACAAAUGAAUGGUCCUUGUCACCUCCACACCCUUCUGACCUUGUAGCGGUCCUUCAACCUGUGAAUCAAUCUGCGAUAAUUUGGAGCCCGUGUGAGCAUUCAGGACCCUAGAGAUAUGGAGUUCCCUUUCUUUCUUACUUAGAGCUUCUUUGAGAGCUUUGCUCUCUUCCUCCAUGACAAUUAACUGCUCUGUGAGAAUGCUGAUUCUCGUACUAGGUGUCUCAGGAUAAUUUUCAACGGCGAAGUCAGACAUGGAACCUAUUUGCCCACUAUGUAUUUUCCUCAUCUGGGCUGAAUCCCUUCCAAGCAUGUCAACUUCAUUUUUCAUUUUAGCUACGGCUGCCGGUCCCGGUAACCUUUUUCGAACUAAUAGACGUAACCUCUGACAUUCUGAUUCUAACUUUGCGAUUUUCUUCACACUCUCUAGGUGUUGCUUGUGAGACACAUCAGCUGUCCUACGGUUGAACUCUCUCUCCUCAUUCCGAAUCUCAAGCUCCUUCUCAAGAACACGGACCUCAUAUUUGAGAGAAGCAUUAUCUUUCUCAGUGGAUUCAAGUCUAGCCAUUAGGCUACCAAUAUCUGCCUCAGCCCGCUUUCGCUGUUUAUUUAAGUCUUCAACCAAUUUUUCCUUGGAUGCUAGAGAUUUACUGAGAUGAGUAUUCUCAAUGCCCAUCUUGGCAAGCCUUUUAUUUGUUUCUUCUAAUUUCCCCUCCAAAACUACUUGGGACUUUUCAAACUCCUUUGACGUCUUCAUAACAGUAUCGUGAAUUCUUUUCUCCUGCUCUUCUCUGACAAAAUGCAGUUGCUGCAUACAUUCUUUCAGAGCUGCAUCAAGAUGUGUGAGUCUCUCUUCAGCAGCUAGUCUCUCCUUCAACGAUUCCUCUAGGCUAUUUUUUAGAGAAACCACUUCAGUUUCCAUUUGCUCCCAUCCUAUUCAGAUAAUGAAUUUAACAAUGAGUAGAUUGUAGGUGGAGAGUUAAAAAUGAACAGAAGGAAUAGAAAUAUCCAAGCAGAUAUUCUGUCAUAUAAAAUAGUUGAGAAGGGAAAGGAACUACCUGCAAUAGCUUCUUGGGCCAUCUUUUCAUGUUUCUUUACAAGCUCGUCUUUGGUAUUACAUUCGGAAAGAACAUAAGAAAGCUUAUCAGUCAAAUGUUUCAAUUCUUUCUCCAACUCUGCUUUAUCAGUUGAAGCUGCCUCUACCUGUCAGGUGAAAUUAAUUUUUACGCAUCGAUCAAAGAUAUAUAAUUUACACACAUCUAGCAUAUGCACCCACAAUUGUACCACAGACCUAUACAUGUGUGUGUGUGUGUGAGAGAGAGAGAGAGAGAGAGAGAGAGAGAGAGAGAGAGAGAGGAGGAGCAGGGGGAGCAGCUACUAAGUUUAAGAUUACUGUCUGAGGGCUUCAACAAUUCACAGAGAUCACACUACAAGAAGUUAAUUGUCUAUCUCUGUGUGAAAUUCACUUUCAGAUGCAUGCUAUAUAGCUAUAAGUUUGAUUAUACGCAUCCAUUUUAUUGUUGAGUUAUAUCUGGAAAGUGAUUUCCAGCAUGGUACACACCUAUAUGAAAGAGAUGCUGUAUGUUCUCCUAAGGUUAUAACAUUUUUCCAUUGAAGGAAGACCUUGCACAAUAGAUUAACAGAUCGUACAUGCAAUUUCCUCAAGAUGCGGCUCCUGAAGAAGAACACAACUUUCUGGUCUGUCCUGUACAAGUUCAUUGUCAUUCAUAAACCAAUUGCUUACCCUUUUCCCUUUCAUUUAGAAGCCGGACUUGAAAGUUUAGAGUAAAGCAGCGGGUAAGGAGGUCUUUGUUUAGUGGACAACCAAGCUGUAGUCUUACAAGAGAUGCAGGUCAUUCACUUGAUUAAAUGAUGCACACUAGAAAGCAGUUAAACUUGUAAAUAACCUUAAUGGCGAUAUUAUCAAGCAUUGCCACCCCUUAUCUCAUUAAAAAAUAAGAAUCUGACAACUCAGAUGCAUGUGAUACAGAAUUCUGUAUGCAAACAAACCAAAAAAAUGACAAUGUACCCAGACUUCUAUUUUGUGUAGUUUGGCCAACUGUUUUUUAUUGUAAGUUUCUCACAUCGCGAGGGGCAAGUUACAAAAGAUGGUCUUGACAGUUGCCUCCACUCUGCUUUAAGUACCCAUUAGACAUGAAUACCCCAUCCCUGCCUCCUUAGGAUUGCACCAAGCAAACUUCCGUUUGAAAAAAUGGUCUAUUGCUCAUUAUGUGACUAGCCAUAGGGGGGUGCAAAUAACAUCAUCAGGAAAUUAUAACAAUUACCUGCUGCUCCUCGUUUGCCUUUAGGGGAAGCUCAACUUUAUCAUUUGCAAUGGUCUUCUCUGCAGAUUUCUUUUUCCAAAGCCAUGCUUUAUGAUCCAUCACUUCACAAAAAUGUAUGUCGGAAAGCACAUCAAACAAGACAAGUUACGUGUAAAGGCAAGUGGAAAAAGAAGAAAUUUUUUUGCAUGAAGUCAGAAGCUAUAAGUCAAUUCUAAUCCAGGAAAUACAGCUGAAUCAGACAUAAAGUCUCUAGCUUGUUGUGUGCAACCAUCGACAAUUCACAGCUUCACAUGAAAGUAUAUCAGGGAUCUGUCAAACGAAAUACUUAAAGCGACCACAUAAAAUUAUGCGUCGUAAACAAUGCAUUCCCUAAAAAGAAGAUAGAGAAAAGGCACAGAUGAAUUGCUAAAUACUAAAAUCGCUUCAGAUAAAGUUCAGAACAAUAGGAAAAAAAAGGCUUUUGCAUUUGUGCACUAUAGAUUCUUAUGCAUCAGUUCAUCCUUGAUUGAACAUUAUGGGGCAUUUUAAUAUGUAAAAUACCCUUGUUAUCAAUUGUCAUCAACUGUUAAUUUCAGCGUCUGCCUGCACAUAGGAAUUAAUCAUACAGUAUCGCAUUGGGACACCAUCAUAUCCCACUCUCAAGCAUGUACCUACCGAAGCAAGGGUUGUGAUGGUAAAUCGGUAAAAAAGGCAUCAUAAUGAAACUUUGUACUACAUCAAAGGAGAAAGAAAAAAAAAACUACUUAAAUUGGAAAUGGACCCCCGACAGAUUACAGCAGAACCUCCUUCCCCAUCAGAGAAUUCACGUCGGGUACCAAGCCAGAGCAUCUCGAGUUUUCAUAAUCACGGAACUCCUUAACUCAACAGCAAAGACAUUCCAGCCUAAAAGCUUACCUUGCCAUUGAGGAAGCUAACAAUCGAUGCGGGAUAGAUUAAUGCUCCCUCUCACAUGCAAAAACAAAACGGACGGGAAAUAGAACAGGGAGCCGAAAAUGCAGAAUAAGAUGAGGGAGAACCACAUGUAGAAUUUAACAUUAAUUUGAGCAUGAAGAAGCUGAAAUUUGAAGCCCCACUACACGCACAUUAUGUGUAUCAGUCAAGCCGGGAUUAACCGAUUUGCAGCAAUAAAAGUCUCUGAAUCAGGCACACCGCUGAAUUUUAACACCAGCCUCCGGCCAAACCGUAUGAAUCAAACAUCGAGAAGCAGAACCGAGCGAAGGACGAGUUCCGCCAGAGCUCCAACUUCAAUAGAAAAAUCCCAGCGCCGUGACGAACAAGGUUGACUUUAGACAGCGCCGUAACGGUCGCAUGCAACGACAACCUCAAUCCUAAACGCGACUUCCAAAACCAAAAAAAAAAAAAAAAAGAGAGAACAAGAAAAAGGAAAAAACACAGACAUCGGUCAUCGUCCCGACCGCACCGCGUCGCGAAGCACGGCCUCCGGGCAGCCAAUGCGAGUCCUCUCGCGACGCUCCAAACACUACACAUGACACCGGAGACCGUGCGAGGUCAACGCGAGCAUCUAGAGAGGGAGCUGCGGGAACUUACGGGAUCGAUCAGGAGGCGGCGGAGGCGGCGGCGGCGGCGGUAGGAGGAGCGGGAAGCAUGGAGCUCGGGGGAAGCGAGGAGAAGAAGAAGAGAAGAAGAAGAAGAAGAAGAAGAGAUCGCGAUCCGGAGAAGGAGGAGAAGCCCGGUUCCGAAUUUAAUAACACGUCGCCGUAGGGAGCGGGUGGCGCGAUCUCACCGACAAUCACCGCGAGCGGUUGCAGACAAUCGACUCCACGUCGCCGCCGAGGAGUAGCUGUGGAGUAAGAACUCAACUAAAGCGAAAACCAGAAACUCCGAAAGAGAGAGAGAGAGAGAGAGAGAGAGAGAGAGAGAGGAGGUGACGUGGAGCUGACUGAACUGCAACUAGAGAGAGAGAGGGAAAGUGAGAGACUGAGAGUGAGGGUGAUGGGAGGAUCACAGGAGACGCGAGUACGGCCUCUUUUUGGGACAAUCUGGACAGCGUUCGGGGACCACCGGCGGUCCCGACGGGGCCGCGGUUCCAGCUUUUAGGGUCGAACUGUCCACGUACGGACCGACCAGGCGACGGUGGCCUCUCCGUUCGAGAUUACUGUCUGUGCUCGGCCCGGUUGGCCGGAUUCGAUGUGGGGUCCACAUGUGAAUUUUUCUACGCUUACGAGAAAGUGUCGCCAUUUGCCCCUGGUCCGUAGACACGUGUUUGCUUAGAAGAGUUUCUUAGACUUCGAGAGGUUUAUGAUUAGGAUUGAUAUUGACAUAUUGAUCCAAAAGAAAAAUCUUUGACAAUUAAGAAUGUUAAUGUAAUUUCAAUUAAUUCAUAUUAAAUUUGAUUAAUACCACGAAUGAAUUGUAAAAUUCUAAGUUGGUAUCAUAUGAUAAUAAAAUCACAAAUAUAUUAUAAUUUCAAUUAUACACAGUUGAAAUUUUGAUGAUCAAAAAAUUAAUUUAAAAUAAAUUUAUUACAAAUUAAUCACUUUGUGGUUUUUUGUUAGUAUUAACUGUUAUGGUCAAUGGGCAAUUUGUCUUUGGUAACAACAAAAUAUGAUUAUGGAACUAAAAACAAAUGGCGCGUGGGAUUAACGGUUGUGCAUGCGCGUGCGGGGUGGUCCUUGCGCUGAAGUGGAGUAGUCAAUUCCAACUUGUAAGGGGGAGGUGAGGAGUUCAAAUCCCCACCUUCUCAGGGGGGGAUGAGGGUAGGGAUGCGUAAGUUUCGAGAGUGGGUUGCGACUCCCACGCCCUGCAUGAGGCAGGACACAAGUCUGCGAGUGAGUGUAGAGUAGGAAUAGAGUAGGACUGAAAAAAAAAAAACAAAAAAAAAAAAUGGAAACUUUGUUAAAGUUCUGUUGGGCCUUCUUGUGUUGUUGGUUGGUUGUCUCUCUCUCUCUCUCGAUCGCUAUCGUUCGCUUUUGCUUUGAUCCAACGGACCGGAAGAGCGCGGGCACUUGUCGACGGACCAUGACCUUUCACGGGAGAAAAGGACGGCGACGUUUCGGAGUAGUGUCUGAGCUUGACUGUUGAUGAAAUUAAGCUAUCAUUUUGAUACGAAAAUACAAAAUUUAAGUAGUGGGGCAAAAAAAAAAUUAAAUUUCCGACGGAUGAAUAACGUGCACGUUCGAUGGUUAGUAACCUUACAGUCAACUUAUAUUUAUCUAACAAGAAAUACACGAAAUUGCGCCUUGUAGUAGUGAAAAUAAUAGAAGGUCUUUGGACUGUUUUGGUCACACUAUGAAGGAUAGUCAACUUAUAUUUAUCUAACAAGAAAUACACGAAAUUGCGCCUUGUAGUAGUGAAAAUAAUAGAAGGUCUUUGGUCUGUUUUGAUCACACUCACGAAGGAAAAGACCUUAUGAAAUUGACGAAUUCAAAAUGCGAAUUGCACUUGCAUGGAUAGGUCAAAGCAUUUUUGCUGAAAGAGUAGAUGGUAAUAUAUUUGUAAAGCUUAAUUUAAUCGAACUAUGCUAAUUAAUCUUACAAGACUACAAGUAGACAUUGAAUGGAAUCGAUGAUUGACAUGACAAUAUAUUUCCUGAUAGCUAGAUACAAAUGGAAAAUGAUACGCUUGCGAAUCAUUGAUCUAUGCAUGCUUUCAAUUAUGUGAUGUCUAUAGUCAUUGCAUUUAGGUGGCAUUUGAUGAAGAAUCAAAUUUUGAUUGGUGAGAAACAGAUUGACAAUAAUCAAAUUUUCGCCGAAUGAUGCUGACCUAUGCCGUAAUGAAAAGAGAAUUUCUCAUGAAUCGUAUAUAGACAAGUAGAUUCGUUUAGAUGGAUAGAGGGGGAAGAAAAAAAAUACAAAUAUGUAUAAUGAAGUGUAAAUUCGUCAGUAACUAAAUACUUGUUUUUUUUUUUAGUAACAUGUCACAUUGAUUAAAGGGAGCACUAUGAACUAUAGUUAGUAUAGGGUCCAUCACAAUUUAAGUGCAAUCAAUGGUAGGAUUAGAUCGACCUAUCUAAGUGAAGUCUAAAUCUAUUUAUUUAAGAUAGGAUAAAAAUAAGAUAUCCCAGGAAUCUCAAUUUCAAUUACUAGGGCCGUGAAUGCUCAACUGAGAACACCCCUUUUUGUUCCUCAUAUAUUAAAAUUCAUCUAAAGAAAUUACUAUAUUAAAUAACUUAUUGACAUAUAAAUGCAUAAGUAAAUUAUAUAUAAAAUUUAUCAGAUAACUCAAUAUAUUAACAUAAUAGACACUUGUAGAUAUUGUUAAUGAGUACUCAUUUAUUAACAAUACUUGAUUUGGAAUAAUGCAAUUUCCAAGCAUUAAAUGUGCUUGUCAGGGCAUUCAAAACUGCAAAAUUCCCUUAAUUGGUUGCAAGGUACUCGUUAACAAAAUAAUCUUUGAAAAGGUACCUUCAAACUCGUUAGCAUGAGCCGAUGAAUAAUUACUAAAAAUAAUAAUAGCUCCAAUUCCACCUCUAUUUUUUUCUUUGACACUUUAACUAAACGAGGGAUGCUCACAACUCAUGAUUCUUCUUGUAUUUCAUCCGCUCAUCCUAUCAUUGAGUCCAGCUCAAAAGUUUCCAAUUAGUGACGCCACUUUUAUCAUAAUUAAAUAAAAAGCAUACCCUGAAUUGUUUGUAGUACGGUCCACACUCGACAUUGUGGUCACUGCUAAUUCUUGACCAAUUUGUCCCUAAGAGAAUCAAUAAUUCAACGGAUAGACUGUCAGUGCCAUUCACUUCACGUCACGUGUCGUCGUUCUCUAGUGCCUACCCACUUUGUACCUGUGAAUUAAGAAGACCAAAAAAAACUCGAAAAAGACAAUACCCACUAGAAACUACUAUCGAUUCAUCAAAUAUAAUAAAAAAAAGGCGGCAUGAUCAAAGAAUGGACGCUGAAUCCUUAUUUUUAUUUUUUAAUAUUUUCAAUUUCGAACAUUCUGUUGUAAAGCAUCGCUGCUCAUCGUUCCAUACAAUGUUCAAUUAUUUAUAAAGCUGGGAUGGCUGUCAACCACCCCGAAUUGCAAAAAGAGGACCACCAUUCAACUAAAGAUCUCCCAUAAAUUAGCCUCCUCCUCAUCAUUCCCUUCUCUCUGUUUUAUUCAGUCUGUUGUUUACGAUAUGUCGAUUUGAAUAGAUAGGUCGGUCCAAAAUGGGAGUUAGGAAUGUGCAAGCUUUACUUAUAUUAAUAAUUCGCUGUGGUAAGGUGGCGCACUCGUGAAGCAAUCCCCACACCCCAACUACCGCCCCCGGAAUUAAAUGGAGAACGUGAAAGGUGUCGAGAUGGACGCGAUGAUCGUACACCAAUCAUGAUGUUCGGCGGUCUCUUGUCUGCUUUAAUUCAGUGCGACUUUUGGGUCAGUGACAGCCUCGCUUUAACCUCGCCUUAGUUGAUUGAGAUAGCCUCGUUGCGUCGCUCAAUUAAUAAGGGCUUUUUGUCAAAUGACUGAUGAUGCCACUAAAAAUUUCAAAUCAGUAUCCUCACGACCCAUUCGUCGACAACUAUUUUUCAUUUUACCCAAAAAAAAAAAAAAGUGUCUCGUAUAUAUGAAAAUUAAUUUUUGUCUUGUGAAAAAAACUCAAGUUGGUAUUCCUAACCAAUAUUUGCCCCCUUUAUCCCAUUAAAAGGCAAAUAUGUUAACAUAGGUUGAUUUUCCAUAUUGAAUUCGCCAUUCUUUGCAUUAGAUUUUAUGUGUGCAUUUUAAUGAGAUAUUGAACUUAAAUGCUGAUGGGGUAGAUUUGGGUCGGGAGUACGGAAUUUUUUGCGAGAUGAUAUUAAUAUGUCAAGGGCUAUCAAUUGUCAAAUUGAUUUUCAGAUGAAAAUUAAUUUGGAGUAGUGAUAUAAUAAGGAUAUUGGUUUUGAGAUUUUUUUUUUUCAAGUUAUUUUAAAUGAAUUUUAAAUGUGGAAAAUAUAUUCCCCGAGGAGUUAUUGCUAAUGAGUGCGUUUGACGUGCAGGGCGAUACCAUAAUGGCUAUGCGGGUCAUUGUCACACAACUCAUUUGAUGUGGCCUGACCUGAACAAGCCAACAUAAUCCUAGUAAUUACUUAAAAUUGACGCUUUUUUCUUUUCCUUUUUCUUCUAAAUGGUAAGAUAGAGUUUGGAUUAGUUUUCGUGAAUCUCGAUCAGUCCUUCUCCUCAAGACAUUUUAAGGGUGCCCUCCUUCACAUUGACUUGGUGUUUUCGAGAAUUUACUUCUCAAGUGCUCCCAACAACACCACCAAAAAAGUUAAGCUCAUACCUAAAUUUUGUAAAAACGAUCAUGUUAAUGAGUGCUCGGCAUACUUAAUUUGGGAUAAUUUGAUUUUCAAAGUAUCGAUUUCCAAAAAAAUUGUGGCUUAACAAAUGUCCUUGAGGUGCCCCUAAUAAAUUCCUUUUAAACAAUGCAUGCUGAACAAAAUGUUGAUUGACCGACCAAAUAAAAAAAAAAAAGAACAAAAUGUUGAUUGGACAUAUUCGAGACGAGAAUCGGAGUCCAGACCUCCGACCAGAAUAAACCAGAAGCAAUCAAUUGCACAUUCGAGGCGAUUUCACGACGCGAUAGACAAAGAAAGAAAGGGGGUUAGUUGCAAAAAUUGACAGCAUAAGGGCCAGGUUGUAAUUGACGCUAAGCAUCGUGAUCUAAUUGAAAAAAAGGUAAAAAAAAGUAAGAGAUAUGCAUAGAAUUGGGCUCGCUCCUCGGCCCAUUAUUAUCUUUUCAAGAAGAACAAAUUGGUCUCCGAACGGGAAAAGCCCACGGCCCAUCUGGCAUCCGUCUCCAUCUUCCUCGCUGGGCGAUCCUCUCUCCGGUUCGAACCGCCGCGACUCUCUGGUGUUCGAGCGCCGUCUCCCGGCGGCAAAUCUCGACCUCGCCCGAUCAUCGCCGGCGGCAUUGAUCGUCUUCUCUCCGCAGCGAUGGUGCAGAAGCAGCACCACAAGUCCAACGCCAAGAAACAGCCUCACGUAAGCGAUUUCCUUCGCUACUUAUGGUUGCAAUUUCCAUCUAUUUGGGCACUCGUGACUAUUGCUUGCUCUUCGAUGAGGCGGCGUGUUUUGUCUCCAAAGAAGAAAUUCGAAAUUUUAAUUGCUUCUAUGAUCUGUUUGUUGCGGCGAGGCCUCUGAAUUGAGCUUUGGUGGACGUGCUUUUGGCUAAGUUCCUGGUUGAAGUGUUCGUCGGUGUUUGUUCUCGGAAUCUGAGUGGACGUGAAUGCGGUAUGCGUUGAUGAACAGGUUAAAAAGCAGGGGAAGCAAGCGGAUAACACGCAGUUCCGAGCUCAGCUUGAUGCUCUGGGCCUGAAAAUUGUCCAGGUGACUGCAGAUGGUAAUUGCUUUUUCAGGUCUGUGUUCCUUGUUAGAAAAAGAUCACCGUAUUGUUCAUGAUUUUGUUGAAUGUUUCCAGGGUUUGAUUUGUUUUGUUAGAUAACAGUAUUCCUCUCUGUUUUGGAAGAUUUAUGGUACGCUCAUUGCAUUACCACUCUGUCGUCAGGACACAACACACAGUGCAUUUUAUGGUACACUGGUUCUGGAACACUAUCAUCGACGUACUAGAAAUUCCUCAGCUGAAAAAAUUAUUGCAAUUCGUAUACUGUAUCAUUCUGCUUGAGACACUGUAUCUAAAAAUAUAUAUUGAAGAAGAGCUCUAUUUGUCAGGGAAUGUAGCUCUUUUAACUUAGUCUCGAGGAUAUUAGAUUGACUCUUCCGUUAUCCAACUAAGUAACUUUGUAAAUUUCUAUCACUAUUGUAUUGCUAUUGUACAACGCCUAGAGAAACUAACCAUGUGCCUCAUUCCUGUUUUCAUUCCACAUAUUUGAAUUAUCCAUCCUCCAGGUAAUCUUACAGCCUUGUGUGGAGCUUUUGUUUAUAGAAACACCUUUGCUAUGGUUGGAAUUUUCAUAGUUGUCCACUCUUGUUAAUCAGGGCCCUUGCAGAUCAGUUGGAAGGCAAUGAAGAAGAACAUGGGAAGUACCGUAGUAUGGUUGUUCAGUACAUAUUGGUAUGUGGAGUGCAGAUUUCUCUUUUUCAAACUGUAGGAAUUAUGUUUUGGGGGGGGGGGGUUUACAUGGUGAUGUAGUCCUCAGUGAUCCGAAUCUAAACUUUAUUUGGUGCAUUUUGUUCUUGAACUUUUCUGUAAGUAUUGAUGGAUCUCACACUUACAUAGACACUGAAAUAGCAUGCCUUUGGAAGAAAAAACCAAGUUAAAAUGGGUAUUAUACAUUGAAGCAUACAUUUCUGCUGCCACUGGUUAUUCCUGGUGAUAUUCAGCUCACAGUCACAGUUGCAUAGAGCUAUAACAACACAAGGAUCACCCGAGCAAUUUGACAUUCUUAUUUUACUAGAGAGGAAAACCUUCUGAGUGUUAACCGUGAUUUGGAUGGUGUAUCUUGGCCUAAACUGACAGGUGCAGGAGGAAGCUGGACUUUAUAGUUACCCGCAUUGUUCUAGCCUACAGGAAUGUGCAGUUGCUACUUUAGGGUGCCAUUAUUAUGCAAACCGACAUAUUUUUGGAGGAGAUAUUGAGAAAAUAAAAAUUUAGAGAAUUGAUACUAAAGUAAAAUAAGUCAACUUUUUACCAUGCAUGAUAAAACUUUAAUGUUUUGCAAUGGCACAAAUUGAUAGUCUUGCUUGUUUCAAGUUUCAACAGAAUCCUUUAUUUUCAUUUGUUUUUUCUCAUAGUGAUGUGUUUAAGGAAAUAAAAUCCUCAUCUGAAGAAUGGACCUGAUAUAUGCAUCUAAGAUGGGAAUUGUUAAUGACAGAAAAAUCGUGAAAUGUUUGAACCAUUUAUUGAGGAUGAUGCGCCAUUUGAGGAGUAUUGCAAAACCAUGGACAAUGAUGGCACAUGGGCUGGUCAUAUGGAAUUGCAAGCAGCUUCUCUUGUUACACGGAGUAACAUUUGCAUUCAUCGGGUAAGACUGACAAUGAAGUCAUCAACCAUCACCUAUGUGAAGUUUUGUUGGUUACAGUCUUUUCAUUCCUUCGGGAGAAACNNNNNNNNNNNNNNNNNNNNNNNNNNNNNNNNNNNNNNNNNNNNNNNNNNNNNNNNNNNNNNNNNNNNNNNNNNNNNNNNNNNNNNNNNNNNNNNNNNNNAGAAUUCGAUGACCAUUGAAGAACCCAUGAUUAUUGGUUUCCAGAUUCAUUCUCCACUUAAUCAUAUAACGGCUUCUUCCACAAUAUGGCCCUCCUUUAACUGAGAAUUUAUUCCCCCAUCAUUGUUUAGAUCAAAAGACCACUUAGGAUGUUGUUCUCAUAAUGGUUAUAGCUUGUUCUUUUCUGUCUGGUUAUAAUUUGUUACUCUUUAGACUGAAAAAUUGACUCAUCCGAAGCGCAAUGAUAUCCGGCAUGUCUCGCAAUGUCUAUUGUGGCGAAAGCAUGUGGAAGGACCAUUGAUAGUGAUGUGCAAAAGAUUUUUUCGGAGAUAUAUUGCACCUUUUAGCACGAGGAAAUCCGAUGGGUGCAUAUAAUCCUAAUUCAAAGAAGACUUAAUAUAUUGAACUUGUUACAAAAUUGCUGGCUUUUUGAGUGUUCUAUAUGUCCUUGAUGAAUCUACAUAGCACUAAUUAGUUUUGAUACAUGCUGUGCAUGCAAAUAUCUGUUUGUUGACGCCAAAUGGAACAAUUUAUCACACUCCUUACUUGAUGCAGAACAUGUCACCUCGGUGGUACAUACGCAAUUUUGAUCAGCCUGGUGCUCGUAUGAUCCAUUUGUGAGUUUUCUGAAUAUAGAGACUGAUGCUUUUUUUGCUAAGCAAGUGCUCAAAUACUGGGAUGAGAUUUGGCUCUGUUUGUAUACACUUAAAUAAAUGACCUUUUCUUACGUUUUACUUUCCCUCAAAAGAUUUGAAAAUAAAACAAUGUUUUUAUUUUUUAAGUGAUUAUGAAAAGAUUAUAUAUUUCUCCUGGUCAAGUUUGUUUAUUUUUAAAAGGUUUUAGGUGUUUCGAGUUUCAUAAAAGUCAAAUUGCAAGAGCUGCAAGAUCUUUUUUUUUUUUAAAAACGAAAGCUAUAAGUACAAGUCGUCCAAACAAACCAGCUCAUUACACAAAAGAAGGUACUGCAGCUUGUUCAGGGAGACUGCUGAUUUGUGAAAUUAUUUUAGCAUGCAAGGACAACAUCUCAUAAGUUGCAGAUCCGAGUGUAGUUGCGGUGUUGUUAGAUUUAACGAUGGAAGUUCUUUUGCUAGUUUGGGAGACGUUUUGGUGUGGUUGGAGAGGGAUAAAUUACUGGCUAAGCAUAUGUGGUAGGAGACCAAAAUGUCACUAUAGCUUUUGUUUCUUCGAUAAAUUUUUUUAUUGAAAUUCCCAUUCAUAAUCCUUCAAUGAAUGGCAUCCCUUAAUAUUCUAAGUUAAGAUGGAUUGGAUCUGUCUAGGUAGUAGCCAUCGUGACCUUGGAUUGUCAUGAGGAUCACAAAAUUUAGUGGAUAUAUGAUAUUCCAUACUUUACUAUCUUCGAUAGGUGUCGUCAUGUGAAACAAGUAAGCAUAAAAAAUGUGCGUUGUGCCAUUAUUGUUUUUGUGGAUAGGGAAAAUCUUAUGUUCUUUUUGUACUGAUGGUGUUUCAUUAUUUGAACUUAUAUAUUUUGCUUCGCUUUAUCAGAUCUUAUCAUGAUGAGGAACAUUACAACAGGAUGAGGUUGAAGGAAGACACUGGAGAUGGGCCAGCUAGGCCAAUUACAAUCAAGGUUGCUACUGGAAUUUAAUUCUAAUUUACUUAGUUAGUAGGGAAGUUGGACAAAUUGUGAAUUUAAGUAUGUGAUUUGAUAAUUUCUUUUGCUGAAAGGUCGAUUCUAGUCUCUCAUCAUCAUCUCGCCAAGCAAAAGCUGGGUCAAAGAAGUCUAAAGCAGGAGCUGGUAAGGAUAUUACUGAUGCUGUAUCCAUCAAGCUAGUCAUGGCUGGAAGUGGUUGUGAGAACAUUGAGAAAGUUGAGCAGGUUAUGUCCUCGCUUCUUCUGCUCGCUUGUUUGCAUUAAAUGCUUUCCUCUCAUUUGCUGGGUGUCUAGAAUUAGAAUACAAGACCUUUCUGUGGCUUCUGUGUGACAUGCGAUACUUUUACAGACAUUGCUGCAAAUGUAUGGGGAUGUUGAUGCUGCCAUAGAGUAUUUGAUAGCAGAAAAAGGUAUUGAAGAUUUUUCAGAGGAAGCUGUCCAGUCUCCCUGCAAUGCAGAUGCUUCUCAUGGUAAUGGCUGGUCAGUAUUUAUCUCUCUAGAUUUUCUUUAAUAAUUUAACUUCGCAGUUUCAGAGAUACCAUGUUAAGCUUCACGAGAAGAUUGUUUGGAGUCAUUUUGAUGCAACUGGUAGAAUUAGCGUGCUUUGUCUUGUCAACCAUAGAUUUUUGGGGUAGUCAAACAUGUUACACCCAAAACUAUUUCAUAAUUCUUUGCGGUGUUUAGGUGAUGAUGCCAGUGGAAAUUCUGAGGAACAGAGAGAGGAACCUGUGGAAGAGGCCAAUAAAGAAAAUCCACCUAGCAAUAGCGCUAAACGGACUCAUGAUGAUGGCAGUGCCCAGCAAGAAGACAAGGUUUCCACAAAAGACGACUAUGUUACCUCUUUUACCAUUUUGGUUUUAGCUCAAACGUGAGAACUGUUGGUGGUGCGCUCCUUCAUUUUUAUUUGCUUGUUUUAUCUUAUAAUGCAGAAAAUUCCAAGAAACAAGAAUUGUCCAUGUGGUUCAAAAAAGAAAUACAAGUCCUGUUGCGGGUCAGGGACAGGGAAAGUCUCUGCAAUUUCCAAGCAUUUCUCAUUCUCUCAGUGCUUUAUAUGUCAAGUUAUAGUUUAAGCUUGUCUUUUGUUGAAGUACCUUUCCUGUUUCCGUGUGAUUCGAGUUCAUAUGUAUCUUGAAAUUAUGGCUUAUGUAUCCAAAAUUGUAUUGUACUUAACUUCAAGUCUGGACUAUUUUCUCACUCCUAUGCUUUGUCGAAUAAUGGGUUCACUUUGGGAAAAUGUUCAUACAUGGGUAAUAUAAAUUUGUACUUACAAGAACAAAGACAGCACUGAAGAAUUCUCCUUUUUUAUGUGUAAACGUUGUUUUGCAGUAAUCAAGCUCUUGAAUCCAGAAAAGGUAGAAAGGAAAAGAAGCGAGGCAAGAGAGGGUCUGACACAUCUGCACUUUCUAGCGGAUCUGAUGGAGGGCCACCUGAUAUGGGGGCUCUUUGUAUCUGAUCUUUUGUUAAAGUAUGUGCGCCAUCAUCUAUUGAAUUUCAGAUAUCAGUACGCUGUCUUUCAAAUAUUUGAUUAGACACAAAUUUUUUUCUACUUCCAUUAGCAUGAAUUCAAUGCAUGCAUCUCUUUUUUGAUCUUUGGGAUAAGUGCACUUUCUAGUUUUCUACCUGUUGCCAACUUUAGAAAAAUCUAUAGGUACAAAAUUUUCAAUGGUGUUAUUUUCCUUGGAUAGUUGGAGAUUCUUUGCACACAUAACUGUUGUGCAUGCAUAUAACACCUACCCUCAUAACUGUUGUGCAUGCAUAUAACACCUACCCUGGUAGAUUUGUUGGCAUUGGCAUAGGUGAGUUUGGUGAGAAGUCCAAGGGGGAAGGAGAUAAGGAAAUUCAGUUAUUGCUGUCCCUGGGCUAAACCUUUUCGUGAAUAUAUUAGAGACAUCACAUGAAUUUGACAAGUGAUGGUUUAAUUUCUAAAUUCCCUUCCAAAGUGAUGGUUUUGUUGUAACCGUAGUUUGGGGUUCCCAUGAAGAUGUCAUUCCUUUUCCUUUUAUUUCUUUGACAAAAAAGGCACUAAGCAUUUAUGCACACUUCUUCUUGUAAUUGAUAAAAGACGGUAAGAUGCAAAAUGCACUCAGGCUCCAUCUAUAAGGAACCAAAUGCAAUCCAUCUGCAGUUGGAGAUGACACAGAUAGUACAUAUGCUAGUUUUUCCAUUCAAAUUGGUGCAGAUUUCUAAAAUUAAACAACUUUGACUGACAAUUAUCUAUGGUUAUUUUGGCAAAAAAGUAGUAUAGAUCUUUUGUUGGUUUUCAUUGGUUGAUAUAUCAUCAUAACAUCAUUUAGACGAAUUAAGUCUCCAAAGCUCCUAAGUGAUGGAUAGUGUGUAAAGACCAUGAGCACCUUCGAAGUUUUAGUAGUAGAUUUUCCAAUAAUCCCACAAUAAUCCUGAAUCUUUUUUUAUUGUUUUUGUGGAAUUGCGUUGUGUCAGAUGGGGCUUGUCCAGUUCUCAAGAAUCACAACAAUCUUGCGGCUUCGUCAUUGCAUCCAUGAGGGAGUGGGGAGAGAAUCGAAUUGUGAGCAGGAAACUGAUGCUGAAAGAAGUCUAUAACUUGAGCUUCUUCCCGGAGCAACUUAUGGGGUUACUCAUUAUUUUUUCUUGUCUUGCCUAAAUAUAAAUCUUUUCAUUCUCUAUUAGCUUGAACAUAGAGCACAUGUUAGUCUGAGGUUAUCUUCUGUUUUUAAAGGCUGGUACCUUACUAGUCUUGUAUACUACCUUG
rnacentral:lncRNA from 1 species